UGCAAUUAUCACUUGUUUAGUUUCUGUGCUUGCCGUGGUUUACUUGGCAUGGAAUGUGAAAAAAUCAAGGAAAGCAAAUGCUAAACUGCCACCAGGACCUCCCGGCUUGCCUGUAGUCGGAUACCUCCCAUUUCUCGGAACUACUGACUUGCACAAGAAAUUCACGGAAUUAUCCGGAGUUUACGGUCCGAUCUUCAAGCUCUGGCUCGGAAAUAAAUUAUGUGUAGUGGUGAGCUCACCUUCCCUAAUUAGACAAGUGGUUCGUGAUCAAGAUACAACAUUCGCGAACCGUGACCCACCGAAGGCUGCACUAGUGGUCUCCUAUGGUGGCAAUGAUAUUGCAUGGUCCAAUUACGGUCCCGAAUGGAGAAAGUUGCGCAAAUUUUUUGUGGGCAAGAUGAUGAGUAACGCAAGCCUUGAUGCUUGUUAUGCUCUAAGAAAACAAGAGGUUAAAAAUACUAUCAGGGAUUUGUAUAACAACGACAACAAAAUUGGCAAGCCCAUUGACAUUGGUGAAUUGUCGUUUUCAACAUUGGUAUGUGCUAUACAGAACAUGCUGUGGGGUGAAGCGCUUGAAAUAAGAGAGAAAGGGACCACUAAUCUUGGGGCUGGGCUAAAAUUUAAGCUGGCAGAACUCAUGGUGCUUGCGGGAACACCGAAUAUUUCGGAUGUCUUUCCAAUGCUUUCAUGGCUUGACAUACAAGGUAUAGAGAGGAGAGCAAAGAAGAUUUCACUCUGGCUUGAAAAUGUUAUAAAUUCUACUGUUGAACAGCAUAGAAACAAGGAGUCAACUGUUGAAGGUGAAGAAAGAGCGGGGAAAAAUUUUGAAGGAUCAAGGAACAAGAACUUCUUGCAGUUACUAUUGGAGCUUCAAGAAAAUGAUGACAGUGCUUCCUCAAUUAGCAUGAACCAAUUCAAGGCCGUACUCAUGGUAUGUUAAGUAACUAGCAACGAACAGUUAUACAAGCACAGUUGUAUAUUUGCAUGAGUGAUAUUUUCAACCUUUUUUUUUAAUUAGAAUUUUAUUGUCACCUUUUGGACAGGAUAUAAUUACGGCUGGAACCGACACCACAGCUACGAUGGUGGAAUGGACAAUGGCAGAGUUGAUGCAGCAUCCACAAGUAAUGAAGAACGUUCAGGAAGAAUUAGCUCAAGUUGUGGGCAUGGACAGUUGUGUUGAAGAAUUUCACCUGUCUAGAUUAAAGUAUUUAGAUGCUGUGGUGAAGGAAACAUUUCGUCUGCAUCCUGCAGUGCCUUUAUUAGUACCACGCAGAGCAAGCGAGAGUGGCAGCAUUGGUGGCUAUACCAUUCCCAAAGAUACAACUCUUAUGUUGAAUGUUUGGGCUAUCCACAGGGACCCUCACCUUUGGGAUAAUCCCUUAGAAUUUCGACCCGAGAGGUUUCUGAAUGUUGGUGUCGAGAGUAAGUUCGAUUACUCAGGUAACAAUUUUCAGUACUUGCCAUUUGGUUCUGGUAGAAGAAUGUGUGCUGGGAUUCCUCUAGCUGAGAGGAUGCUGAUGUUUGUUUUGGCUUCGUUAUUGCACUCAUUUGAGUGGGAAUUGCCAGCUGGCACAAAGCUAAACUUAUCUGAAAAAUUUGGGAUUGUCAUUAAGAAAAAAGAGCCUUUGGUUGCUAUUCCAACACCAAGACUAUCCAAUUCAGAGCUCUACCAUUAAGACAAAAUGGUUGUGAUGAUUUUGUUAAUUUUCCGAAGAUUUGUAUGUUAUUUAGUUCAAUCGUAAUAAAAUAUUUCAAAUAAGAGUCCUCCGUUGCUUUUUUUUUUUUUUUUUUUUCAACGGCAUAAUCUGUCGUCAUGCUUGUAUUUGGAGCUACUUUGGAAUAAUUAUGUUUGAAUUACAAUUUAUAAAUAUUUACGUUUUAAAUUUUUUAUAAGAGUCUAAAUUUAUACACGUUUAAUAUCCCGCUUCAUAGAUAUUUAACACAAUUUAUAUCAUACAUUGUAUACCCAUUUGUCAUAAAUUAUACUAUUUUGUAUCUCUAAAUAAUAUUACGUAUUGAUAUUAUAAUAUAUAUAUAUAUGUUUAUCAAAAGACUAUACCAUUCAAUAUAUAUUGAAAAGAGAACAAAGAAGAUUUUCUUAUGGUUUAAAAAUAUUAUGAAUUCUGCUGUUGAACAGUAUGGAAACAAGGUCUCUGUUGUUAAAGGUGAAGAAGCAACAGGGAACAAUAUUGAAGGAAGAAAUUUCACAUGUUUAGUUGCUGAAUUUGCCGCUGUAUUCUAUCGGUAGUAGAGUUUUUAUUUUUCUCUAUUAAUUUAAGUCAAUUUUCUAUAACAAAUUCGGUUGAGUUUAAUUGUGUUAUAAUAUAAAUUGAAUGAUAAUAGAAUUUUCAACAAAUAUUUCAAUAUUUCUAUCUCGAUUGUUGAAGUGCCAUUUAUUUGUUAUGCGAUCGAUUUUAAAAUUUAUAAAAUUAUUUGUUACUAAAUUGCAUCAUAUGCUAAAAUCACCUGAAACCUAAUUCCAUAACUAACCCUUUAUUUUUAGUUCUCAAGAAAUCUUGUAAGAACAAAAAUCUUUUAUAACAAAACUUUUACAACACAUUAAUUUGUAACUCAUUCCUGUGCGCGAAUCACUCUCAAUUUCCUUCAAUUGCUGUUUAACAAUCAUCUACUUAUCAAAAUUCAAGCAUAAUCUUUUUUUUUUAAUUUCUUCAUCAUUCUUUAAAAAAAAAAUCAGGAUAUGCUGUUAAAUUUUGAAAUAAAUAAAUUAACCAAAGUUGGUUGAUGUGAGUGGUUCAAUGAUGAGCAUAAUUUAUAUACAUAUUUUACCUUUAAUUAUAUAAUUAUUAGUUAUUUUUAUUAGUUAUUUUUAAUUAAUUGAAUUAUUUUAUUGCAUAGAGAAUUAAUUGGAGAUUGGGAAACAAAAAGUGCAUAAAGAAUAACAAGUUUGGGAAAGCAUCAAUCAAAGCCGUGACGCAAUUAAGAGUUUAUAGCAUAUGAAGCCAAGAGUAAUUUGCACUCAAAAAGAAUUUCAAUUAUUCAAGUGACCUGGACCUGCAUGGCAUUGUAAUGCAUGGAAAGCAACUUAAAGGGGCCCACACUUGGCUUUUACAAUUGGAAAAAGGAAUCCUAGUGCAAGCUUAAUUGAUGAGCACGUGAGUGAGAGCAAAGAAAAUUAAAAGGCCAAGCCUUUUGGCUUAAGGAAAUAACAAGGUCGGUGGGGCCCAUUUUAAAGAGUAAUAUAAAAGCAAGCUUUUGGCUUUUGGAGAGAGGAGCCGCGAGAGGAGGAAAACGCAAGACAAAGAGAAGAAAAUCUGCAGCAGUUCGGCUUCUAUGGUUGGUUUUAUCUCUUUUGUUACUCUUAAUUCAAAUAUGUCUAGUUAAUUUUCUUAUAUUAAAGUUAAGGAUGAAACCCUAUUCAAUGAAAUAAUUAUCUUUUUAUUUAUUUAAUUCCCAUAUAUGUUCUUUAAUGAUUAUGAUUUUUAUUUCACAUGAUUAAUUGGAUGUUAUUAAAAUUUUUUCAUCAAUUCUGUCAUGCAUUAUUGAUUGUUAGGAUUAAUAUUCAAUUAAAUCUAUACUUAGAUUUAUAACGUUUAUACAUGAUUAUCUUUGAUUCUAUGUCUUUCAUUAAAUUGUUUACAUGGAGUGCUUAGGAAAACUUUGACUCUUUGUUAUUCAAUAUGUUCACAUGGGAUACUUAGAUGUCAUACUAUUAAGCGGAAAAAGAACCUAUAUUAGAUUUAAUUAUUUGGGCUUAAUUGUUAUAUCCAUGAGAUGACACAAAUUGAUUUCGAGUUGUCACUCUAAAAUUAGAGAUUAAUGAAUAUUUAGAUAAUUACUAGUUGAAUAGCGGUGGAUUCUGAAACCUUGGUAAUUUCUAUCUUAUUGAAUUCUCCUUUACUUUAAUUGUUUUCUUAGUUUAAUUAAUUUAAUUUCUUUUAAAACUCAAUUUGCUUAACUAGGUUAGAAUUAAUAUUAAUUUUAGAUUUAAAUUAGACUUUUCAAUUUAUAACAAUCCAUGUGGGAUCGACCUCGUUACCACUACUUUAUUUCUAGAUUCGUGCACUUGCGAGUAUAUUAAAAUUUUCACAACAAGUUUUUGGCGCCGUUGCCGGGGAUUGUGCCAGAAAGUCAGUUUAAUCUAGGUUGAUUUGAUUCUUCCACUAGUUAUAAUUUAUGUUGUCUUUUAUUUUAUUAUUAUUUUUAAUUAACAAAAACACACAAAAAAACUUUUAUUUUUCUUUAAAUUCAUUGUUUGGUUGUUUGAUUUCUUUUAUUUUUUAAAUUUUGUUUAUUCUCAUUAUUGUUGGUUUAUUUUAUUUUAUUUUUUUCUUUCCUUGUCUAGUUAGUUUAUGAGUGUUUGGGAAUGUGAUUCAACAAAUCGUUUGGUAAAAGAGAGUCAAAAAUUGAUAGUAGUCAAGUUAGUUCUUCUGAAGUCAUGGAUGACCCAAAUAGAUUAUUGCCAAUACUUCCACCAGUGCAAGCAGAGAAAACCCUUAGAGAAUAUUUUUCACCACUUGCAGCCAACCAACCAUCUUGUAUUGUGUUGCCACAAACUACAGCAACACACUUUGAACUUUUUGAACUUAAGCCCUCAGUCAUCCAACUUUUACCAUCUUUCCAUGGGUUAGAGAGAGAGGAUCCAUAUUUGCACAUUAAGGAAUUUCUUGACAUAUGCUCUACAUUCCGUUUUCAAAAUUUUAAUGAUGAGUUAAUCAGGCUUCGUAUGUUAUCUUUCUCAUUAAAAGACAAAGCAAAAGCUUGGUUGAAUUCGCUUUCUGCUGGGUCUAUAACUACGUGGGAUGAAUUGAAUAAUAAGUUCCUCACCAAGUUUUUCCCUAUGUCUAAAACAAAUGCCCUUAGGAGAGAGAUAAGUGAUUUCUAUUAAAGAGAGGGUGAGCAAUUUUAUGAGUGUUGGGAAAGAUUCAAUGAUUUACUCCUCAAGUGCCCCCACCAUGGUUUUGAGAAAUGGAGACUUAUACAAUGCUUUUAUAACGGUUUAACCAUGUCGAAUCGUCAUAUGGUAGAGUCUAUGAAUGGUGGGAGAUUUUUGAACCUACAUGAAGGGGCUGCAUGGGAUUUCUUUAAUUCACUUUCUGAGAAUUCUCAACAGUGAGAUUUUUCAAGCCAAAGGGAAAAAUCAUCUCAAGUUUCUAGAAAGGGGUUAUAUGAAGUUAAGGAUGAUUUUGAUGUGAAAUCCACUCUAAUUACACUUUCUAGAAAAGUAGAUGCCUUAGCUCUGAACCAAUCAAUGAAUCAUCAUCCUAGUGUAGCUAAUGAGGUUUGUGCUAUUUGUUCUAACUUGUCUCAAACAGCACAAAACUGUCCAUCAUUACCAGUCUAUCCAGAGGCUUAUUCUGAGCAGGUACAUGCCUUACAAUCAUAUGAGAAAACCUCCAAUAAUACAUAUUCACUCACAUAUAAUCCUAAUUGGAGGAAUCACCCUAAUUUUUCUUGGAAACAAAAUCAAUCUUUGUCAAACCAAGGAGGACAACAAUUUAACAUGCCCAAUCAACAAUUUGUCCCUCCUAACCAAGUAUAUCCUCCUGCCCAACAACCUAUAUCUCAAUUUGUUACACCCCAACAAAGAAAACCUUCUUUAGAGGAUACACUUCAAAGUUUCAUUCAGUCAACCUAAUAAGCUUUUCAGUCAAACACUCAAGCUAUUCUAAAGCUUGAACAUCAAUUGGGUCAAUUAGCAACUACUGUAGCGGAGAAAGAAAAAAGAAAAUUCCCCAGUCAAUCAAUUCCUAAUCCUAAAGGAGUGCAUGAAGUUGGAUCGAGUUCAAGCCAUCAGCAUGAAGAAGCAAAAUCAAUUAUGACCUUGAGAAGAGGAAAAUUGUUUGACAACAAAGUGGAGGUUCAAACAAAGAAGACAUCUGAGCCUACUUCUUCAGAUCCAAUUACAUCACAAGAAUCAUCACCAAAUGAUCUUGAAGAGAGUGACCCGCUAGCUUACAUUCCCAAGGCUCAUUUUCCUCAAAGGUUAACAAAGGUAAAGAAAGGGACUUCAACAUGUGAGAUUAUAGAAAUCUUCAAGCAGGUAAGUAUAAACAUCCAUUUACUCGAUGCUAUUAAGCAAGUUCCUUCCUAUGCCAAGUUUUUGAAAGAUUUAUGCACUAAAAAGAGAAAUUUGCAUGUCACUAAAAAGGCGUUUUUAACUGAACAAACUAGCAAUUUACUUCAAUGUAAAAUGCCACCAAAAUUUAAGGAUCCUGGUUCUCCUACUAUUUCAUGUGUUAUAGGGAACCAAUGUUUUGAUAAAGCAUUAUUGGAUUUAGGUGCUAGUGUUAAUCUCUUACCUUAUUCCAUUUACAUGCAGCUUGGACUAGGUGAGUUAAAAUCAACUCCUAUUAUUUUGCAACUUGCUGAUAGGUCAAUGAAAAUACCUCGUGGUAUUAUAGAGGAUGUGUUGAUACAGAUUGACAAAUUUUAUUAUCCUGUUGAUUUUAUUGUUAUUGAUACUCAACAUGUACAUGAUCUUAAGAAACACACUCCACUUAUUCUUGGUCGUCCUUUCUUAGCUACAGCUGAUGCUCAUAUUAGUUGCAGGACUUGAAACAUGCAAUUGUCUUUUGGUAACAUGACCAUGGAAUUAAAUAUUUUUAAUGUUCCCAAGCAGGCACAAGAAGAUGAUGAAGUCGUUGAAGUAGAUAUGAUAGAAGCAUCAAUUGAUGACUCACUUAUUUCUAACCAUUGUGACAAUCCAUUAAUACCUUGCACAACUGACUCUGAUUUCUCUAUUGAUGUUGAUAGUGAUAUUGAAGAAGUUAAUGCUUUACUUGAUUCGACUCUUAUCAUAGAUCUAAUUAAGUGGAAAGAAAAGAUAAGAUUGAGCCACUUCCUCCUGAAGAGAAAAGUGCAACAUAGGUCACAUUCUGACAUAAAAAAGGUGGUAAGAUCUAAAACGCUUAAAUUAUUAGAUUUUUAUACUACUUUAGAUAACUCUCAGGAAAGCUUAGAACAGAAGAGAUCAAAGCAAUGCGAUAUUGAGGAGUUUCAUUACCAUCAUCCUUUUAUGGAUAAAAUGCUCCAGUGCUUAAUCAAUUAUGCUUUUUGGUAUUUUCUAUAUAAUUGCUUUAAUUUUCACCAAAUUCUUAUUGAUCCUGGUUGAUUUGUUGUUUACAUUAAUUAGUUAGUUAGUCGGAUUUUUUUAUUAUUAUUUAUAUUUCUUCUAACGUUUUCUUUUGAGUUGUCAUUCUUUUAAGUUUUCCUAGCUCAGUCAGGUGUGUUCUCUCCAACUUUCUCUUUUAUUAUUUAUGUUUUUAUUUUUCAUCUUUUUGCGUGCAUAUCUUUUAUUUAUGACACAUUGAGGACAAUGUUCCGAAUAAGUUUGGGGGUGGGAAUAAUGUUGCUUUGUUUGUUAAAAAAAACUAAAAAAAAAUUUCAAAAAUUCAAAAAAAAAUUGUGUUUUUUUUGUUUUUACGUGAAAAGCCAAUGAUAAAAACUUGAUUGACAAUGAAUAUGGUUUUUAGAAAGGGUUUAAUAUUGUCUUAAUUUAUACUUGAUUCUUAUGUUAGUUCCUCUUGAUUGAGAUUCUUUAAAAUAUAAGCACUAAUAUCAAUUCUUUCAUAAUUUUGACUUGAAAUUUGAGAUUGACGCAGCCUGAGUUGAGAAUUUUAGAUAGAGUAAAUGACUGUUUGUCUUUAUUCUUAUCUCCACAAUACAAAAUAGUAUACACAGGCACCAAAGUCAGAAAUAACUACCUAUAAUCCUUAAGAGUGAAGCUAUCCUUGAGUAAUUUAGGCCUAUGUACCACAAGUAUGUAGAGGAUAAUCUACCAUGAGAAGAAUGCUACCUUAAGGGGUAGAGUGAAAGCUCCUGACUAUGGUUAAAAAAAAAAGAAGAAGAAAAAGAGAAAGAAAAAAUCAAAUCAAGUGCAUGUGCUGAAAAAAAAAUCAAAAGAAAAUGCACAUAAAAGCCUGUGAAAAAAAAAUUGGAGAUUAAGAUGAUAAGAUUAGCUUGACCUACUCUUUUCUUUUUUUGAGGCGAAGGUUGUUGAUAUUGAAGAUUUUAGGAAUGAAUUUGAUUGAAUUGAUUUCACACACACACAACAAGAAUCGAAAGAGAGAUGGGAUUGAUUAUUGAAUUAAAGUUAGAACUUUGCCAAUAUUUGAAAUUUUGUUUGAGCUAUAUAAUUUAUGCAAUCUUUGAGGGUAUUUUCAUAUUUUAUUUAAAGUUUUUUUUUCUUUUUAUUUUAUUUUAUUUAUUUUUUAUUUUUUUAAAAUGAUGUUUGUGGGUGUCAUCACUGAAGCUCUCACGAGACUAUAACUCGUCCACUAGGGGUUUAAAGGCUUGUUGCAUACGCUAAAUGCAAUCGCGAUUACCUGCGAAAAUGGUUUAGUUAGGAUUUACUUUUUGUUUUGUUAUUUUUUUUUUUUUUUUUAGUUUUAGCUUUGCUCGAGGACUAGCAAAAUCUAAGUUUGGGGGUAUUUGAUGAGCAUAAUUUAUAUACAUAUUUUACCUUUAAUUAUAUAAUUAUUAGUUAUCUUUAUUAGUUAUUUUUAAUUAAUUGAAUUAUUUUAUUGCAUAGGGAAUUAAUUGGAGAUUGGGAAACAAAAAGUGCAUAAAGAAUAACAAGUUUGGGAAAGCAUCAAUCAAAGCCAUGACACAAUUAAGAGUUUAUAGCAUAUGAAGGCAAGAGUAAUUUGCACUAAAAAAGAAUUUCAAUUAUUCAAGUGAUCUGGACGUGCAUAGUAUUGUAAUGCAUGGAAAGCAACUUAAAGGGGCCCACACUUGGCUUUUACAAUUGGAAAAAGGAAUCCUAGUGCAAGCUUAAUUGGUGAGCACGUGAGUGAGAGCAAAGAAAAUUAAAAGGCCAAGCCUUUUGGCUUAAGGAAAUAACAAGGUCGGUGGGGCCCAUUUUAAAGAGUAAUAUAAAAGCAAGCUUUUGGCUUUUGGAGAGAGAAGCCGCCAGAGGAGGAAAACGCGAGACAAAGAGAAGAAAAUAUGCCGCAGUUCGACUUCUAUGGUUGGUUUUAUCUCUUUUGUUACUCUUAAUUCAAGUAUGUCUAGCUAAUUUUCUUAUAUUGAAGUUAAGGAUGAAAUCAUAUUCAAUGAAAUAAUUAUCUUUUUAUUUAUUUAAUUCCCAUAUAUGUUCUUUAAUGAUUAUGAUUUUUAUUUCACAUGAUUAAUUGGAUGUUAUUAAAAUCUUUUCAUCAAUUCUGUCAUAUAUUAUUGAUUGUUAUGAUUAAUAUUAAAUUAAAUCUAUACUUGGAUUUAUAAAGUUUAUACAUGAUUAUCUUUGAUUCUAUGUCUUUCAUUAAAUUGUUUACAUGGAGUGCCUAGGAAAACUUUGACUCUUUGUUAUUCAAUAUGUUCACAUGGGAUACUUAGAUGUCGUACUAUUAAGCGGAAAAAGAACCUAUAUUAGAUUUAAUUAUUUGGGCUUAAUUGUUAUAUCCAUGAGAUGACAUAGAUUGAUUUCGAGUUGUCACUCUAAAAUUGGGGAUUAAUGAAUAUUUAGAUAAUUACUAGUUGAAUAGUGGUGGAUUCUGAAACCUUGGUAAUUUCUAUCUUAUUGAAUUCUCCUUUACUUUAAUUGUUUUCUUAGUUUAAUUAGUUUAAUUUCUCUUAAAACUCAAUUCGCUCAACUAGGUUAGAAUUAAUAUUAAUUUUAGAUUUAAAUUAGACUUUUCAAUUUAUAACAAUCCCUGUGGGAUCGACCUCGUUACCACUACUCUAUUUCUAGAUUCGUGCGCUUGCGAGUAUAUUAAAAUUUUCACAACAUUCGGCACUCUCACUCCUUAAGAGAGGUCAGGGGUUCAAGCCUCGCUCUCGUAUGGAGUCACCACUUUGACCAGCACUUUACCCCUUACAGACCGACCCGGUGCGAGCAUGAAUUAGUCUGGGUUGUGGUACGGGCUUAAAGGUGCCUCCCACAAUUGAGACCCACUCAGGACCACCUCGUGGUUCGGACAAAAAAAAAAUUGAAAUAAAUUAUCUCAAAAUAAUUACUAACCAGAAAAAACAAAGGGGUUUAACUAGGUUAUGCAUACCUUUGAAAAUUAUAUGUUGAUCGAUAAGCAUGAUGAUCACGAUUGAGGAGUUUAAUUAAAAUUUAUAAGAUUUUAAAAUUAAUCAGGGUUAAAUUCUAAAUUUUAGAAAGAGAGGUUUUGUGAGAAUGCUGAAAGGGUGUUAAUAGUUCCACUCUUUUUUAAAAAAACCAUAGUCAUCAUUUUUCCCGAUUUCUUCUUCCCAUCUCCAUCUUAUUUAGAAAUUUCCCAGAGCCUUUGUUUCCCACCAUUCAUUUUUCUUCUUUCUAAUUUAAGAUUAUAGUAUUAUAAAAAUAAUUACUCACAUUUUAUCAAACACCUCCAUUAUACCAAGGCCUUGUUUUAGUAGUAGGCUUUUAUUAUCUCAAUAAAAUUGAAAAAACAAAGCUCAAUAAUAUUGGAAAAAAAACCUACCCAUAUUUGUAACUUUAAUUUAUUAUUCUCCAUAGACCUACUUUUUAGCUUUGAAUUUUGUUGGAGCCAUAUAUAAACAGAAUAUGUUGAAAUCAGCACAAAAAAAAAACUAAUUAUAUAAUUUUUGUUCCCAAGGACACGACUGUGUGAUUUUUAAGAAGUUUUGUUUGGCUGGCCACUUAGGUUUAAAUCUUGGUGGAGAUUAGGGGUUAAGAAAUAAAUUUGGACUUUGCACACCCCUUUAACUUUUAAAAAGAAUGAAAAAAACUAAUUAAUUAAUCUUUAUUUUAUUUAUUAAAUGUCAUAAUCAUAUGCAUAUUUUAUUUGUUAUCUUUCUAUUUAAAAGAUAGGAGGGCAAAUAAAACUGAAAUAAAUGUUUAUCCCUAUCUCCAUCUUUCAAGUUCCAUAGUUAGGUGACCAGCUAAAGAAAAUUAAUUGAAAGUUACUCCAUCAAAUUAAAAAAAAUUAUUUAUUUAAUUUGUGGAGAUGUAGAAAAUCAAACCCCAUACCUUUUCGCAUGCAAAAGUGUCAACCUGGUCUAGCUAUGUUGCAACAGUAAACAUAUUUUAAUACAUGACUAUCAUCUUUUAUCCUAAAUACUACUAUAACUAUGGGUUCAGUUAUGCUGUAACUGUGGUAUGGUACCACAGUUGUUUUCAACCAUUAAAUUCAACUUAUAUAACUAUGCAACUGUAGAUCUAACGGCUGAAAGCAACUAUGGUACCAUACCACAGUUGCAACAUAGUUUUGCCCCUAUAACUCAUAACAUUCAAUUGAAAUAAUAAAUGUUAACACUUGGCUAUAAAUAAAGGUUUUGUACUUGAAUCUUCAUGCAUGACCUUCAUUCCUUUAUUGACUUUGCUAACACAGAUUUUGAGGCAUUAAAACUAAAUAAUAAUUGACUUUGUGGGCCGAGGAUGCCAGCAACAAGGAGACCACAAUUAUCACUAGUUAAGUUACUCUAAUUGCCGUUGUCUUAUAUUCAUAAAAUAUUAGUAAUAAGAUUAUUGUAGAAUUUUUUUAUAUUAAAAUUAAGUCAAUUUGUUAUAACAAAUUUAGUUGAGUUUAAUCGUGUUACUACAUACAUUGAAUAAUAAUAGAAUUCUCGACAAAUAUUUCAAUAUUUUUAUCCCAAGCGUUGGAGUGGCAUUUAUUUGUUAGACAAUCGAUUUUAGAACUUAUAAAAUUAUUCGUUACUGAAUUGCACCAUAUGCUGCAUGACCUGAAACUUAAUAAACGGAACGUAGCGUUGGCAACAUUCACUGUCAUGACUUUGUGACAUUAGAAUUAAAUUUUUUUGCACAUUUAAUUUGUUUACUUCCAAAUUAAUAUUUAACAAAAUAUUUUUUCACAUUAUCAAUGGACAAAACUCCAACGAAAAUAACUAUACAAUAUAUGCUAGUAUUGUAUGCCAUAUCAUCUGUAAUUUUGUCAGGAUCGAUCAUUUUAAUUUUUAAGCAAAACUUUUUAUCAAUGGACAAACACCUCACACAGCUUGUCAGAGGCAUUAUUAUGAUGGAAAACUGAUAAACAGUGAACUCGAAACUCAAUUACUACAAGUCGUUUAGAGGAUUCAGUCUUGGAUGACUUGUCACUUGUGGAAUUCUUGAAGCCAGAACCGACAUAAUCUCAGUCGUCAUUCUGUCUUAAGUAAUACACAUGGUUUGCAUGUGUGUUGAAGCUGACUCUUUGCUUGGAUCAAGAAACGACGUCUUUGAGUGCCGUUUCUUAAACACACUUUAAAUCAGCUUGUGUCAAGCACGUGAGGUAGAGCUUUUUGAAUAGAUUUGGCGGGAAUGGUAGUUAGUGUAACAACCCAGAAAUAGAGGUUAAAAGGUGAAGGCUUUGUCAUCAUCUACACAUGAUUUGGGAAACAUUGAGAGUAGAGAAAAAGAUAGAGAGAGAAAGGGGUUAACAAGUUCUUGUUCUCUGUAAAUCGAUUUAUAUUCUUGUAAAGUUUGUGAUCUCAAUUAGUGAAAGACUGUUGCUUUGUUUCCAGUGGAUGUAGGCACCACUUCUUGGUGCUGAACCACUUAUACUUGGUGUCAUAUUGUUUCUUUAAUGCUUUGAUUCUUGCGUGUGAUUGUUGCUGGAUAAUCUGUGCUGUUAAUUCUCAAACCAUUGAUACAGAAUUAAUGUCUUGGGGAGAAUUUGGUUAGUCUUAUCAAAGCCGAAUUCACAACAAAUUGGUAUCAGAGCCCUCUUUUCUGUAUCAAGGUUCAAGAAAUGACUAACAAGGUGGAUCUUGAGAAGUUCAAUGGUCAGAAUGAUUUCAAUAUGUGGAGGAUCAAGAUGGAAGCAUUGUUAAUCACACAAGGUCUGGGAGAUGCCAUUGAUCCAGUCAUUAAGAGUGAAAAUGCAGAAGCCUAUUCUUCAAGAACUCCAGAACAGAUGGCUAAGAUUGAAAAAAAGGCAAGAAGCACCAUCAUCCUCAGUCUUGGUGACUUAGUGAUAAGGGAAGUUGCCAAGAAAAAGACUGUUGCUAGGCUCUGGGCAAAACUGGAACAAUUGUAUAUGACAAAGUCCUUAGCAAACAGGCUAUACAUCAAGAAAAAGAUGUUCUCACUGAGGAUGAUUGAAGGAGCAUCACUUGAUGAACACAUAGAUGAGUUUAAUAAAGUUUGUGAUGAACUGGAAACAAUUGAUGAAGGACUGAGUGAUGAGAGCAAGGCUUUGCUGUUAAUCAGUUCUUCACCAAAAUCAUAUGAACAUUUUGUGGAUGCCUUGUUAUAUGGAAGGCAAUCACUCUCCUUGGAAGAGGUUAAAUCUACUCUUGGUACCAAGAAGUUAAAAGAAAAACAAGAUAACUCAGAGAGUGAAUCAAGUGAAGGGCUGAUGGCAAGGGGCAGAUCUGAAAAAAAGGAGUACAAAGGAAAAAAACAAGGGAGAUCAAAGUCAAAGCAGAAACAUUUGAAGUGUUUUCACUGCCACAAAGAAGGGCAUUUCAAGAGGGAUUGCCCUGAGAGAAAAACAAAGCAAAAGGAAUCAAAAGACAAAUCUGGAAAUACAGCAAUAGCCACAGAAGAAACCAGUUUUGAGAUAGCUGAAGUCCUCAUUGCCACAAAAGAAAAAAACUCAAGGUCAGUGGGUACUAGACUCUGGAUGUACUUUUCAUAUGAGUCCAAAUAGAAAUUACUUUACUACAUAUCAGUCCUGUGAUGGGGGUAUGGUGCUGAUGGGAAAUAAUUCAGUUUGUAAAGCAGUUGGGAUUGGGACUGUAAGCCUUAAGAUGUAUGAUGGCAUGGUUAGAGAACUAACUCAGUUUAGGCAUGUUCCUGAGCUUAAAAGGAACCUAAUAUCUAUUGGCAUGCUUGAUCAAACUGGAUGUGUCAAUAAGGCUGAAAAUGGGUCAUUGAAAGUUAUCAGAGGCUCAAUAGUCAUAAUGAAAAGUUCCAAGCAAAAUGGUUUGUAUGUGUUGAAUGGACAUACAACUGUUGGAGAGGCAAGUGUCACUGAGAAGAGUGAAGACAAAGCAAGACUAUGGCACUUGAGGUUGGGGCAUAUGAGUGAAAGGGGAUUGAAGGAGCUUCAAAAGAAUGGGGUGUUUGGAAGUGACAAGCUAAGUUCUUUGGGGUUCUGUGAAGACUGUAUCCUAGGGAAGGCUUCCAAUCUCAAGUUUGAAUCUGCAGUUCAUUCUACCAAAGAGAAGCUUGCAUAUAUACACUCUGAUAUGUGGGGGCCUGCACAGGUAAAUUCUCUUGGUGGCUUUAAGUAUUUCUUAUCCUUAAUAGAUGACUAUUCAAGGAUGGUUUGGGUGUAUGUACUCAAAACCAAAGAUGAAGCUUUGGAAAAGUUUUAGAGGUGGAAAAUUCUGGUAGAAACACAGACAAGUUUGAAAGUAAAAGCUCUAAGAACAGAUAAUGAAUUGGAAUUCUGCAACAAAGAGUUUGGAGACUUUUGUAAAAGACAUGAGAUUAUGAGGCACAAAACAGUCAUACACACACCUCAGCAAAAUGGUUUUGCUGAGAGAAUGAACAGAACCUUAAUGGACAAGGUGAGGUGUAUACUGCUAUACUCAAAGCUGCCUAAGUCACUCUGGGCAGAGGCCUUAAACACAGCAUGUUACUUGGUAAAUAUAAGUCCAUCUACAGCAAUAGAAUGCAAAACACCUAUCGAGCUAUGGUCUGGAAGGGUUGCAGAUUACUUUAAACUGAGAAUCUUUGGAUGUGUUGCUUAUGCAUAUGUCAAACAAGGCAAAUUGGAGCCAAGAGCUUUAAGGUGUAGAUUUCUAGGAUACCCUGAUGGAGUUAAAGGCUAUAGGCUAUGGUGCAUUGAUUUGAAGCCACCAAAAUGCAUUAUCAGCAGGGAUGUAACUUUCAAUGAGUCAGAAAUCUUGAACAAAUCCAAAACCACUUAAUCCAAAGAUCAUAUAUCAGAAACAAGACCUGGGAGUGUUCAGUUUGAGGUGGAGUCCUAUGAACAAGAUAGGACUGAAUCAGAAACUGAAGGAGAUUCAGGAAGGGUUACUGAUGGAUUUGAUGUUGUUCAGGAGUCAGAGCCAGCUGAGAAUGAAGAUAAUUCUUAUCAGUUGGUCAGGGAUAGAAAGAAGAGAGCUGUAAGACCACCUAAGAGGUAUACAAUAGCAGAUUUCAUAGCUUAUACAUUAACAGUUGCACAAGAGGUAAAUGAGGAAGAGCUAAGAACCUAUAAAGAAGCUAUAAACAGCAUGGAUAAGAUGAAAUGGAAGGAGGCUAUGGAUGAGGAAAUUGAAUCACUAAUGAAAAAUGGAACUUGGAAGCUGAUAGUUAGACUAGAAAAAAGGAAGACUGUUAGCUGCAAAUGGAUCUUCAAAGUUAAGGAAGGUAUAUCUGAUGCUGAACCUAGUAGGUUUAAAGCUAGGCUGGUAGCAAGAGGCUUCACACAAAGAGAGGGGAUUGAUUUCCAUGAAAUCUUCUCUCUAGUUGUGAAACAUGCCUCCAUCAGAGUCAUCUUAGCUUUAGUUGCCAUUCAAGACAUGUACCUGGAGCAUAUGGAUGUUAAAACAGCCUUCCUGCAUGGUGAAUUACAAGAAGAAAUUGUAAUGGAACAGCCUGGGGGGUAUGUGGUGUCUAGUAAGGAAAAUCAUGUGUGCUUACUAAAGAAAUAUUUAUAUGGAUUAAAGCAGUCUCCUAGGCAAUGGUACUUGAAGUUUGAUAGUUUUAUGACAAAACAUGCCUACAAGAAAUGCAAUUAUGAUUGUUGCGUGUACUUUAGGGACAUUGGUGAUGGAAAGAUGAUUUAUCUUAUGCUGUAUAUGGAUGACAUGCUUAUAGCAUGUCACAGCAUAGAUGAAAUCAGUCAUUUAAAGAAUCUCUUGAGCAGUGAAUUCGAUAUGAAAGAUCUUGGAGCUGUAAGGAAGAUCUUAGGUAUGGAAAUUAUCAGAGACAGGAGAAGGAAGCUUAUGUUUUUAACCCAACAGAGCUAUGUUAAGAAGGUGUUGCUUAGAUUUGGGAUGCAUGAAUCCAAGUCUGUUCAAACACCUUUGGCAAAUCACUUCAAGCUGUCUGCUGCACAUUGUCCACAAACUGAUGCAGAGCAAGGAAAAAUGGCAAGGAUACCUUACUCCAGUGCAGUUGGGAGCCUCAUGUAUGCCAUGGUUCUCACUAGACAUGAUAUCUCACAUGCUGUGAGUAUAGUGAGUAGAUUCAUGGCAAAUCCAGGUUAUGAGCAUUGGAGGGCAGUCCAGUGGAUAAUGAGGUACCUGAAAGGCACUAUGGAGUUUGGUCUGCUAUAUGGAGGGUUAAAACAGGAAGGGCACAAGCUGGUGGGGUAUGUUGACUCAGACUUCGCUGGAGAUCUUGAUAAAAGGAGGUCUCAGACAUGUUUUAUAUUCACUUUGGGAGGCUGCACUGUGAACUGGAAAGCUACUCUGCAAAGUGUGGUAGCUUUGUCCACAACUGAAGCCGAAUAUACAGCAGCUGCAGAAGCUUUUAAGGAAGUCAUCUGGUUAAAAGGAAUGGUCUCAGAGUUAGGAGCAAAACAAGAAACAGUUGAAGUAUACUGUGAUAGCCAGAGUGCAAUACAUUUGAGUAAAAACCAGACCCAUCAUGAAGGAACAAAACAUAUUGAUGUAAAGCUUCAUUUUGUAAGACUUGAAGUUUCAAAGGGAACUGUGAAGAUGCUCGAGGUUCACACUGAUCAAAAUCCAACCGAUAUGUUGACUAAAGCUGUGCCUUCUGCCAAGCUCAACUUCUGUUUGAGCUUAGCAGGAAUUUGCAGUUUCUGAUCAGCUGCAAAAGAAAGGGAAUAAAGUAUACAGGAGUAGCUAGAGUUCAGAGUUCACACUGAUUAAAAGGUGCAGGCUUUGUCAUCGUCUACACAUGAUUUGGGAAACACAGAGAGUAGAGAAAAAGAUAGAGAGAGAAAGGGGUUAACAAGUUCUUGUUCUCUGUAAAUCGAUUUCUAUUCUUGUAAAGUUUGUGAUCUCAAUUAGUGAAAGAUUGUUGCUUUGUUUCCAGUGGAUGUAGGCACCACUUCUUGGUGCUGAACCACUUAUGCUUGGUGUCAUAUUGUUUCUUUAAUGCUUUGAUUCUUGCGUGUGAUUGUUGCUGGAUAAUCUGUGCUGUUAAUUCUCAAACCAUUGAUACAGAAUUAAUGUCUUGGGGAGAAUUUGGUUAGUCUUAUCAAAGCCGAAUUCACAACAAAAACUGUAAUGGUAUAUCUUGAAUUAUUGGUAGAAUAGUUCUUUGGAGCAAUAAAAACAGAUAAGACAGAUGAGAAAAUUGUCAAUACCCCACCGCAAAAGCAAAAGAAAACAAGGAAAGGAGACAAAAGAGGAAGAAGAAAAAGAAAAAAGAACGAAGAAAAAAAUGGUGCCGUGCGGUAUAGGCAAGAAGAAAAAAUAAUAAAAAAUAAUAAAAUAAUAGUGCACAACAAUCAUUUGAUUGCUAUAAAUAAAAGGCGUUUCCCUCAUUUUAUUCAUCGAAUUCUUCAGUUCCUUUCAAGCGAUUUAAGAGUCUAGUGAUUUGAGAGUUUGGGUGUAGUAUGAUUUUGGGUAGUGAGCUAAAAUACUACAAUACUUGUAACUCAUUUUUAUUAGUAAAAUAUUUUCCUUCUGACUUCGCCCGUGGACGUAUGCUAAAAGCCGAAUCACGUAAUUUCUGGUGUCCCUAUGUGAUUAUGUGUCUCAUUAUUUCUUAAUUUCACUUUAGUUGCGUGUCUGCGACACCCCUCAAUUUAUUAACAAAAAAUGGCCAAAAUUAUAUAAGUGACCCAAAUUUUUUUGUUAUUUCCAAGAAAUCCCCAAUCUGAAUGGGCUAGACCAGAGGGAGGCAAGUUAGAAAUACAUUUCCUUCAUAGACAAUAACAGUGAUGAGUCGAUGACAUCAAGCCACGUCGGUAUCAAUAUUGAAUUAAAGGUGCAAUUAUUCAGCCAAUGAACCUUACACAUCAAGAUAAAAGUCAAGAAAAUGAAAAUUUAUCCCAAUUAAAACACUUUCUGGCUGCAUUUAGUUGUUUCCAUUAGAAGUUAAAAACAACGUUUCUUUCGUUUUGUGGGCAACUCAACUGAGUUAGCUGGCUUCUAGUGCUAGUAUGUGAAAAUAGAAGGCUAAUGAUUUAUUUAUUAUCUUUUGACAAAAUUAUUAAAGAUAUAAUAGAUUUUCUAUGAUACAAGUGAAAAAUCACAUCAACAUAGCUUUCAAUCUACAGCAGCUAGCGUUUACCAAACACUUUGUUGUAGCUUUUAAGCUAUAGCUGCCCAACCUCAAUCUCAAACGCACCCUUAAUAGGUUGAUUGAAUUUGUGAGAUAUGGAUUCCACAUAUCUCAUGACCUAGUAAUUAUACAAGUGGUUCGUGAUCAAGACACAACAUUUGCUUCCGGCCUAGUGACCCAGCAAUCGCUGCACUGGUCGCCACCUAUGGUGCCGACGAUAUUGCAUGGUCCAAUUGUGGCCUUGAAUGGAAAAAGUUGAGCAAAUUAUUUGUGGACACGAUGAUAAGUAACGCAAGCCUUGAUGCUAGUUAUGGUCAAAGAAAACAAGAGGUUAAGAAUACUAUCAGAGAUAUUCAUAACAACAAAAAGGAAAAAAAAAAGGCAUUUGCAAGCCCAUUGAUAUUGGUGAAUUGUCGAUUUCAACUUUGGCAUGUGUAAUCCAGAACCUGCGCGCUGUGGUAUGGCGCUGGCACGCUUGCAUUAACGAGGGGACAAGUCUUGGGGCUGAGCUAACAUUUAAGCUCGCAGAACUCAUGGUGCUAAUGGGAACACCAAAUAUUUUUUUGACAUAUUUUGGUGCUUUCAUGGUUUAAUUCAAGGUAUAGAAAGGAGUGUUGAGAAUGUCAAAUAAAACGGCAUUGAAUGGAAGUUGUCAAAGACACGAUCCGCACCGAACGGCAACGACACGGUUGCUAAAAAUCCUUCCAUAAUAUGCAUAUCUAAUUUUUUAAAAAGUGUAACCUCUGCAUUUAUAAAUAUACUCAAUGUAUAAUGUUUUACUUAAGAAAUGAAAAACUUGUUUGUUCAAGGAGAAUAAAGAAAAUUUUUCUAUGAUUUUUUUAUGGUUUGAACAAAGAAGGUUUUAAUGAGUAUUAUAGACCUCGAUUGAAUGUUCGAAUGUAUAAUAAAAGAGAAACUGUCACAUAAAUGACAAAGAUACUUGGAAAAAAAAAAAGGGCAGCAAUAGAGAAUUAGAUUCGACUGCACAAAUAACUAGUUAAUUCAUCAAUACAUCAUUUUCUUGCUAGAAAAUGACAAUUAUGACAGCAAGCCACGAUAGUGUCAAUAUUGAAAUUGAUUUGCAAUUAUUCAGCCAAUGUGCCUUACACGUCAAGAUAAAAGUCAAGAAAAUGAAAGUUAAUAUCAAUUAAAACACUUCCUGGGCCGCAUUUAGCUCCAGUUUUUGUGGUAGGAAAACAAAGUUUUGUUUUAAAUUCACAUGGUGUGCACUUCCUAUAUAAAUCUAGAGUUGUGUCCCACGUUGAACAAUAAAGGAAAGUCACCUAAAUAUACAUGUAGGAUAAGUUACUUUAUUUAGUAAGUUUGUAUUUUCUUCUUUCUUCUAGUUUACAUAUAAAUUUGAUUAGAUAACUUAACACAUAUUUUAAUACUUGAUCAGAAGCCCUACGUACAGGUGGAUCUAGAAACUUGAUUUCUAAGAGUAAUACUAUAAUAAAAAAAUAAUGAUUCAUAGAACCAAUAUCAAAAUUUGUUUACAAGAUUACCCCCACUCAAAGGUAAUUUUCAUAGAAAUUAAUAGGAAAUUUAAUUGUUAGUGGGGUCAAAUUGCCCCCACACUCUGAAUGUAGAUCCACGCCCGACCCUGAGUCAAGUAUAUUUUGCCACAUAUACUCUGAAUGUCGGCAGGAAAAAUCUUCCACUUUAGUUUAAAAUUUUCACUUAAAAUUUAUUUACGUUAAUAAAGUUGGUAAAGGAAAUGAGUUUAAUUAAAGAAUAUUAUAGGAGAAAUUCUAUUGUUUGGCUUUUAAUAAAUUAAUUAAUAGGUUUAAAAAGAUUAAUAUACAUCAAAAUAUUAUUAGUUGGUGGUGGUUCCACAUCGGACUAAGACGUGGCACCUUACUUGUGAGAUUAAGACAAUCAGGCUUAGACUAUUUAAAUAUGUUUGAAGCUUAGAUGGCACCGCUUCAAUUUGCAUUAAUGAAUGUCAUUCUUUACCCUAAUUACUACGUAAUUGAUAACAUGCAAUUGAAAUAACUAAUAUUAGCACUUGGCUAUAAAUGAACUAAAGGCCGUGCAAUUGAAUCUUUACUUGAUCACUUCAUUCCUUUAUUUUGCUAACACAGAUUUUGAGAUAUUAAAACGAAAUAAUAAUUGAAUCUGGCUUUGUGGGUCGAUGAUGCCAGCAACAACGAGACCACAAUUAUCACUUGUUUAUUUGCUGUAUUUGACGUUGUUUCAUAUUGGUAGUAAUAACUAAUAAGGUCGUUGUAGAGUUUUUAAUCUUUUUUUUUAUAUUAAUCACGAGGUAUCCUGGGGAGGGCCCCAACUGUGGGAGGCACCUUUAAGCUCGUACCACAACCCAGACUAGAAGUCCCCGCUCGAACCGGGAGGCACAGUUUUUAAUCUUUUUUAUAUUAAAGUUAAGUCAAUUUGUUAUAAAUAAAUAAAAAAUUGGUUGAGUUUAAUUAUAUUGCUAUGUACAUUAAAUAAUUAUAAUAUUCUCGAGGGAAAAAGACACCUAGAACCUCAAGGUUUGGGGAAAUGGUCACAAAAACUCCUAAGUUUUAAAAAAGGAACACUAAAAUCUUUUUUUACCCAUAAUACCCUUUGACUAUAGUAAUUAGAAAAUUGACUUUAAAGGUUUUUAAAUAAUACAAAUUUAAUAUAAAUCAUAUAAUCUAUCUAGUACACUAAUAAUAUUAAAUUAUUUUUUAUAUUUAAAAUAAUGUUAAAAAAUUUAAAUUAUUAUAUUUAUUUUAAUAAUAUAUUUAUAAAAUUAUAAAGAUUUUAAAUAAAUCUUUGGAUUGAAUAUAUUUUACAAUUAAAAGUCUUCCUAUUAAUAAUAUUAAAAUUAAAUUUUAAGUAAUAUAUAUUCAAAAUAUUUUUAAUUUAAUUUUAUUUAUUUUAAUAUUAUGUUUCUAUCUAUUAUUAAAAAUUACUUUAAUAUAAUAAAAUAGGUCUAAUAGAUUGAAAAAUAUGAAAAUAUUUUUAAAAUUUUAAAUUAUUUUGAAAUGUAUAUAUUAUUACAUUUAUUUCAAUGUCAUAUUUCCAUUUAUUAUAAAAUUUUGGGGUUAUUUUUUUGGGAAUUUAUAGAGUCAAAGAGCAUUAUGGUUAAAAAAGAGUCUUGGUGUCCCUUAUUGAAAACUUUAGAGUUUUUGUGACCAUUUUCCUAAAUCUUGGGGGUGUUGAAGUGGCACUUAUUGUAAGAUUGAUUUUAAAAUAUGUAAAAUUAAUUUUAUUACAUUACCAUAUGCUACAUCACCUGAAACUUAAUAAAUGGAACGUAGCAUUACUCCACGUUCACCGUUAUGACCUUAUGACAUUAGAAUUAAAAUCUUUCGUACGUUUAAAUUGUUUACUUCCAAAUUAAUCUUUCGUAAAUAUUUUGUACAGAUCUUAUCGGAGUUAGCGUGUUCAUUACAGUGUUUCUUUUCUUUUAUCCUUUCUUUUGAAACGUAUUUCCUGUGGACAAGGAAAGCAAAUAAUACCCUGCCACCAGGACCUCGCGGCUUGCCUGUAAUCGGAUACCUUCCAUUUCUCGGAAUUACUGACUUACACAAGACAUUCACGGAAUUAGCUGGUCUAUAUGGCCCGAUCUUCAAACUCUGGCUUGGCAACAAAUUGUGUGUAGUGGUUAGCUCGCCUUCAACUAGUUCUAUAAGAAUAUCCCUUUUAAGGGAUUCUCUCUCUGCAAAAUUUUUUUAUCUUCUGGUGCAUAAUAAAAACUUAUGCCACUUCAUUAACCACAGAUAUCUUUUGAGGAAACGAUGUUUCGUUUUCUUUUGUUUUUUCCUUCCUAAUCCUCGCAUAUCGUGUGAAGGCUAAUAUAUCCAAGAAUCUAAAUCUCUGUAAAUCUUUUUCUAUCCAAAUCUACAUAAUAAUUUAAUCCAUGCACAAUAUCUAUAAUUAUAUCGGCUGUCGGCUGAUUUCGUGGAGGGGGCGGCAGUUCAAAUUUUUUACGUGCAUGUUGGAUGGACGUCUCUAUUAAAGGAGAGCCACCACUUGCAUGGUAAUUUUUUUAAAUAAAUAUAUACAUUUCAAAAUAUUAUUUCAUUGUUGUAUAGUUAACAUGUCACCUUAGAUGUAUUUUAGAACUUCUCCUAUUAAAGAUAAUCUCAUGCAGUGAUACUUCUCGUGAUCUAAUCAUUAGUAGAAUCUAUAAUUUCGCUACUGUAAUAAAAUCUGUCCCUACCCUAUAUGAAUGUAGAUAUUUGACGCGAUUUGUAAUUGCUUCCGACAGGAAAACAGCAAUAGUUUAAUUGAAAUUUGUGGUAUGGAUUCCACGAAUCUUAUGACAGAAUACUGACCACUCCAACCCUAUCCACAUUUACACGAUUAAAACACAAGCUUAGAUGUGACAAUGCAUUUGUCACUUUUGUUCAAAUUCAUCCUGAAACACUAUACACUAAAUAAUCGAAUAUGGCUUCGUGGGUCGAUGAUGCUAGCAGCAACGAGACUGCAAUUAUCACUUGUUUUGUUGCUGUACUUGUCGUGGUCUAUUUCGCAUGGAAUGUAAACAAAUCAAGUAAAGCAAAUGCUAAAUUGCCACCAGGAUCUCGGGGCUUGCCAGUAGUCGGAUACCUCCCAUUUCUUGGAACUACUGACUUACACAAGACAUUCACGGAGUUAGCUGGAGUUUAUGGUCCGAUCUUCAAGAUUUGGCUUGGGAAUAAAUUGUGUGUAGUGGUGAGCUCGCCUACCCUAGUUAAACAAGUGGUCCGUGAUCAAGAUAUAACAUUCUCAAACCGCGACCCACCGAUCGCUGGAACUGUGACCACCUACGGUGGCAAUGAUAUUGCACUUUCCAAUUAUGGUCCCGAAUGGAAAAAGUUGCGAAAAUUAUUUGUGAGCAAGAUGAUGAGUAAUGCAACCCUUGAUGCUUGUUAUGCUCUAAGAAAACAAGAGGUUAAAAAUACUAUCAGGGAUUUGUACAACAACAAUAAGGAUAAUAUUGGCAGUGGCAAUGGCAAGCCCAUUGACGUUGGUGAAUUGUCGAUUUCAACUUUGGUACGUGUUAUGCAGAACAUGCUGUGGGGUCAAGCAUUGGAAACAAGAGAGAAAGAGAUUACUAAUCUCGGGGCUAAUCUUGCAGAACUCAUGGUGCUACUGGGAACACCAAAUAUUUCGGAUAUUUUUCCAGUGCUUUCAUUGCUUGACAUGCAAGGUAUAGAGAGAAGAGCUAAGAAGAUUUCUCUAUGGUUUGAAAACAUUAUCAAUUCUGGUGUUGAACAGUAUAGAAACAAGUUUUCUGUUGUUAAAGGUGAAGAAGCUGCAGCAGGAAAAAAUAUUGAACGAUCAAGAAAUAAGGACUUCUUGCAGUUACUGUUGGAGCUUCAGGAAAAUGAAGAUAGUGCUUCAUCUAUUAGCAUGAACCAACUAAAGGCCGUGCUCGUGGUAUGUUAAGCAACUAGACACAAAAAGUUGUAAAAGCACAGUGAUAUAUUUGCGCGAGGCCGCGAGUGAUGUUUUGCCUCGAGAACUCUCAAUUUUAUCUUACGGUAAAAAAUGUUUUUCAACUUUUUUUAAUUAGAAUUUUAUUGCAAUUUAUUUAACAGGACAUAAUUGUGGCCGGAACCGACACCACAACUACGAUGGUGGAAUGGACAAUGGCAGAGUUGAUGCAACAUCCACAAGUAAUGAAGAAAGUUCAAGAAGAAUUAGCUCAAGUUGUGGGCAUGGACAGUUGUGUUGAAGAAUAUCACUUGCCUAAAUUAAAUUAUUUAGAUGCUGUGGUGAAAGAAACAUUUCGUUUGCAUCCUGCGUUGCCCUUAUUGGUACCUCGCACGGCAAGCGAGAACAGCAAUAUUGGUGGCUAUACCAUUCCCAACGACACUAAUUUUAUGUUGAAUGUUUGGGCUAUUCACAGGGAUCCUCAACUUUGGGAUAAUCCCUUAGAUUUUCGACCUGAGAGGUUCUUGAAUGAUGAUAUCAUAAGCAAAUUCAAUUACUCGGGUAACAAUUUUCAGUACUUGCCAUUUGGUUCUGGUAGAAGGAUGUGCGCUGGCAUUCCUCUAGCUGAGAGGAUGUUGAUGCUUGUUCUGGCUUCGUUGUUGCACUUGUUUGAGUGGAAAUUGCCCCCGGGCACAAAGCUAGACUUAGCUGAAAAGUAUGGGAUUGUCAUGCGGAAAAAAGAGCCUCUGAUUGCUAUUCCAACACCAAGGCUACCAAAUUCAGAUCUCUACCAGUAAGAUCAAAAUGGUUGUGAUGAUAUUAUUUCCCAUUGUAUUGGAAUAUUUUUGUGUGAUUUGAAGUUCAAUCAUAAUAAAAUAUUUUAAUAAAAUGUCCUCGGUUGCUAAUUUUUCAAUAGUAUACUCUAUCAUCGUUUCUAACUGUCUUUUAGAGCCAUUUGGUCUAAUUUAUUUUUGAAUUAAAAUCCAUAAAUAUUUAAAUUUUUGAAUCAUAUUAAGAAUUAUCUGGAGUGUAUGGUCUGAUCUUCAAGUUCUGGCUUGUAAACAAAUUAGAGUUCUGAUAUUUGCCCCGGGUCAAACCCCGAAAUUAAAUAAAACGGCGUCGUUUUGUUUUUUUUUUUUUUUUUUUCUUUUUUACUUCUUCCAAACGUUGCCAUUUCACUUGUCAUUUGCAAGUGACUCCAUUGAUCCUUAGUUGAAACAGAGUUACACCGUAAAUCUCUUCCUCUUCGUUUCUUCGUUUCACCAGGGAACGAGACAGAUAAAAUCCAGCCAUUCUUCGACAUAACAAGAUAUCGAUUAGAAUCCAACGACAUAACUAUAAACCAUGACAUUGCGCUUGAUUUUGCGAAAUACCGAUUAAGAACCAGUAACUUUGAAUCCAAUGACCGUUAAGAGUUUGAAAUUGGUUUCAAAUGACUAAUGAGUUAUCAGAUUUCUUUGCGUCUACAUUUUCCUUGAAGGUUUCUCAGCAGCCAAACAAAUACAAAGCAAAUUGCAGAAGAAACACAUUUUGUUCCAAUGAAAAAUGUACGGAAACAUUUUAAAUAUGGAAAAUUACCUCAAAAUGAAGGCUCGCAAGAGAUUCGAGCAACAAAUUAGAUCAAAGGAACCGGCGCUGAGCAAGAAAGUGAGCUCAAAGAUUCCGAAACACAAACGUAAAUUCACAAAAAUGCAAAUCUAUGAUGAACGCCAAGAUCAAAAUUUUCGAAGAAAGGGAGCUGAAAAAAUAAAUGAAACGUCAAACUAGAUGACAAUGGAUUUGCUUCUUCAAAGGAGACAAUGAAAUUGUUACUAGAGACAGCUAGAGAAAUAGAGAGAGAGAGAGAGAGAGCUUGAAUUGGCUGUACCCCCACCAGAAAGUGGGUAGUGCCUUUUCCACUUGGACUUGAUAUGCGAAUCUGAAAAAAUCUGAACGAAGGACUGACUCAUCCCAGCUCGAAAGCAAACCAAGCUAGGACUGACUGAAAACGUUGCCGUUUGGAGAAGUUAAAAAAAAAAACUAAACAAAACGACGCCGUUUUGUUUAGUUUCGGGGUUUGACCCGGAAUUUGACCCGGGGCAAACAUCAUUUUCCAACAAAUUAUGCAUGGUCGUGUACACGCUUUCCCUAAUUAAGCAUGAGGUUCGUGAUCAAGGCACAACAUUCACUCCCUGCGACCCAACAAUCGCUACAUUGUUUGCCACCUAUAGUGCCAACGAUUUUGCACGGUCCAAUUAUGGUCCCCAAUCGAAAACGUUGCGCAAAUGUUUUCUGGGCAAGAUGAUAAGUAACGCAAGCCUUGAUGCUUGUUAUGGUCUAAGAAAACAAGAGGUUAAUAUAUAUAUAUAUAUAUAUAUAUAUAUAUAUAUAUAUAUAUAUAAAUUGGCAUUGUCAACUUUUGUAUGUUUUAUUCAGAACCCGCUGUGGGUUGACGCUAGCAUGCUUGCGUUAGGAGACGAGGGGACCAAUCUUGGGGCUGAGCUAAAAUAUAAGCUUGUAGAGAUCAUCUUGCUAAUGGUAAUGUUUUCCGAUGCUGGUUUAAUUCAUGGUAUAAAAAGGAGAACAAAAAAGAUUUUUCUAUGCUUUGAAAAUAUUAUAAUUUUUAUUUUAUAAUUUUUAAUAAAAUCUCUCAUUGAUAGCCAAACAAUUAAAAUUUUUGUAAAGCUUUUGUGGACUUUUGAUCGCGUAUGGUGCCAAUGUAUUGCGUGGUCCUAUUAUGGUUCCAAAUGGAGAAAGUUGCACAAGUUUUUUGAGUACCAGAAGAUCAGUAAUGUAAGCCUUGAUGGUUGUUAUGGUCUAAGAAAACAAGAGGCUAAAAAUUCUAUCUGGGAUUUUUAUAACAACAACAAAAUUGGCAAGCCCAUUGACAUUGGUGAAUUGUCAGUUUCAACCUUGGUAAGUGCGAUUCAGAACAUGCUGUGGGGUGAAACGCUUGAAAUAACAAAGAAAUGGAUUUACUAAUAUUGGGGCUGGGCUAAGAUUUAAGCUUGCAGAACUCACGGUGCUAGAGGGAACACCGAAUAUUUUGGAUAUCUUUCCAGUGCUUUCAUGGUUUAAUAUACAAGGUUUUCAGAGAAUAGCAAAGAAGAUUUCUCUAUGGUUUUAAAAUAUUAUCAAUUCUACUGCUGAACGCUAUAGAAACAACGUCUCUAUUGUCAAAAGUGAAGAAGCAGCAGCAGCAGGGAACAAUAUUGAAGGAAGGAAUAAGGACUUGGUGCAGUUACGCUUGGAGCUUCAAGGUAAAGAAGACAAUGCUUCAUCAAUUAGCAGGACGCAAUUUAAGAGCUUGCUCGUGGUAUGUUGCGCAACUAGCCACAGACAGUUACAGAAACUGAGUUUGGCAGAUUACGACCGUUUCUGGUGAUUACAUAAUUAUUUGUGGCUGUUUUUUUUUUUUAAUUGUAAUUUUCUUAACAGGAUAUAAUUUAGGGUGGAACCAACACCACAACUAUAAUGGUGGAAUGGACAAUGGCAUAAUUGAUACAGCAUCCACAAGUAAUAGAGAAUGUACAGGUAGAACUAAAUCGGGCCGUGGCCAUCGACAGCCAUGUUGAAGAAUUUCACCUAGCUAAGUUAAAAUAUUUAGAUGCUGUGGUGAAAGAAACAUUCUGCACUGUAAUAUAAUACAUGAAUCAUAUGUCCUCUAUUGUUUUUUUAUUUUUCUCUUUUUUUCAAUAGCUUAAUCUAUCAUUAAAAUCUUCUGAAAUUCUAAAUUAAUAUACAUUCAACCUAGAGUUCAAGCCAAAGUUUUAUUGAGCAUUAAAAAAAAAAAAAAUUCUACGACUCAAAAUUUUGUGGAGUAUAAAUUAAAAAUUAUGCGCCUACUAAGAGACAAAAAAUAAAUGAUACACAUUAACCAAUCAAAGGCGAACAAGAGAUUAUUAACAAUAACCUAAUAAUAAAAUUAUAAUGAAUAAAAAAGAAAUGGUACCUAGAAACACAUCACAGCCAUUUAAGCAAUCACUUACCCACAAAAUCCAAACAUAUAAACUAUGUGGGGGGGGGGGGGGGGGGGGGGGGUGUCAUGAUACCUUUGGGUUUCAUGAUAAUCAAAAUUGCAAUACCAUUAAAGACUCAAAAAUAAAAAAAAUCAUAGCCAAUAAAAGAGAAAAAAUAACCCACAAAAAAUCAUCAAGAAAAUAAAUUUGAGACUAAGAGAAGAUAUUAAUUAAACCCUGGGUUGCCUUGGAACCACGGCUUUGGCUUCCAUUUUUCAAUUCUUGGCGACAAGUCAUUUCUUGUUUGUUUACAAAGAUGACGGCUGAUUAAUGAAGCUCUAUUAACAAUGAAUAAAUAAAAAAACUGGCGCCUUGAAAAGACUAACGGUCAUAUUUUUCAACUCCGAAUUAGUGCCGUUUGAUGAGUCCUUGCCAAAACAAUCACUAGGCAAAUAACAAUCAUUUUUCAACCAGCAAAACUCAUUCAUUGUAUUUCACCUUAGUCAAGAUUUAAAAAUUGUUUCAAAAUAAACCUAGUGGUUAGAACCCAAGCGUCACAAUUGUGAGGUCAUGGGUUUGAGCCCCCACAACGUAUUGUGGGGGUUAAUUUUCUUCUUCAAUUUGAGUGAAAACAGUUCUCUCCCUUUCGAAAUGUGGGUGGAGUGGACGUCCCUCAAAUAUUAGAGAGGGUUCAAAUUUGGAUUGUACUAUAUAAGAUUUAUAAAUUAGUCCCAGUAAUUAUCUGAUUGUAAAUAUCAAUAUACUAAUCUAAUUAAAUAUGAGUUGUAAUAUGAGCGUUAGUCUCAUGUAAUUAAAAAAAAAAUGUUUCAAAAUAGGAUUCUUAAAAGGUUGGGGAAAUGGCCAUCAAUAUCCCCAACUUUCCAAAAAGAGACACCAAGACCCAUUUUGACCAUAAUACCCUUUACUUCUAUUAUCCCCAAAAAAUUGACUCUAAUGUUUUAUAAUAAAUAAAAAUAUAACAUUAAAAUAAAUGUAAUAGUAUAUACAUUUUAAAAUAGUUUCAAUAUCUAAAAACCAUUUUAAUAUUUUAAAUCCUAUUAUAUAUAUAUUAAAGUAAAUUUUAUAAUAAAUAGAAUCAUAAUAUUGAAAUAAAUGCAUUAAAAUUUAAAUUAUUUUUAAUAUUAUGUAAAAUAAUAAUUUUAUCAUUAUAAGUAUAUGAGAAUUUUUUUAAUUGUAGAAUGUAUUUAAUGCAAAUAUUUAUUUAAAAUCUCUACAAUAAAUAAAAAUAUACUAUUAAAACAAAUCUCUACAAUAUAUACAUACAUACAUAUACAUUGGCCUGGUAUUUUAUUUUUCAUUUUUUAAACUUAUUAAAUCCUCUAACUAUCAUUUGAUUAUUUUUUUCAAUGAUGAAGAGGCCAUUGCCGGAUAAAUUAUUAAAAUCAACUAGUUCUACAAGAAUGUCCCUUUUUAAAGGAAGAUGAUUCUCUCUCUCGAAAUUUUUUAUCUUGUGCUACAAACUAAAAACUUAUGCCAUUUCAUUAACCACAGAGAUCUUUGAGGAAAUGAUGCUUCGCCCCCCCCCCCCCCCCCCCCCCCCCCCCCCCCCCCCCGCGGCGCCAAAAAGUGUCCUUCCAUAUUUUGUGAAGGCUAAUACAUCGAUGAAUCUAGAUUUCUUUAAAUUUUUUGUUUUACUCAAUUCGAGAUAAUAAAUAGUUUAUCUUUAUUAAAUCUUUACUUUAACAAUGAUAGAUAUUCAAUCCAUGCAAAUAUCUAUCAUUGUAUGAGCUGAUUGCGUGGAGGGAGCGGUAAUUGAAAUCUAAUUGAAAACAGCAGAAGGCUGUUCUUGACAGAUCUCAAAUAUAUUACGGACACGUUGGGAGACAUCUCUAUCAUAGAUAUCCCCAUGCAGUGAUAUUUGUCGUGAUCUAAUUUUUAGUAAAUCUGUAAGAGAGAUUGUAACAUCUUUCAAGUUUUUUGGUUUGAUAUUCUAGACGAAAACGGUUUGUCGUUUCUUGAGCAAACGGCUAACCGUUUAAGUCCAGAGAGCAUGUUUGUUGUUCUGGAUAAAACGGCUCACCGUUGUUGCGAAAACGGCUAACCGUUUAACUCAAGAGAGCAUGUUUUAUGUUCUAGAGAAAACGGCUCACCGUUAUUGAGAAAACGGCUAACCGUUUAUUUACAGAGAGCAACGUAUUUGAUAUUCUGGAAUAAAAUGGCUCACCAUUUAUUGAGAAAACGGCUAACUGUUUAUUUCCAGAAAGGCGUCAAUUAGAAAAACGGUUAGCAAGAAUGAAAAUUUCAAUUGACAAUCGAUGCAAAUUCAAACCAAAAGAGUGUCUUCGAAAAAGUACCAUUUCUAAUGGUUGUAUUCUUUCAAAUAAACAUCUUCUUCAUUAAAGAAAUACACACAAUUAGAUUGAUAAUCAGAUUUUGACAGGUUUCUUAUAUGUUCUGGAAAUACAAUCUUAUUUGCUAGAGAUUGUAUUCAGGAUUUGUUAUAUCUUGGGGGUAAUUUGCCAUUAAAACUAUAUAGCAAACCAAGAUUGGUGAGGGCAAAUAAAACCUUAAAGGAAAGUAUGCAAACACGUCUCAAAUCCUAUGAAACUUUCUUUGUUCUUUGCCUCCAUAUUCUUAUUAUUCACUAACAAAAUCCCCAUGCAGUGAUAUUUGUCGUGAUCUAAUUAUUAGAAAAAUCUAUGAUUUCGCUACUGUAAUAAAAUUUGUCACUACUCUACAUUAAUCUAAAUGUCUGAUGAGAUUUGUAAUUGCUUCCGACGGGAAAACAGUUAAUAGGUUGAUUGAAUGUAUGUGGUAAAGAUUCCACGUAUCUCACGACAGAAUGCUGACCACUGGAACCCUAUCUACUUUUACGCGAUUAAUUCACGAGCUUAGGCACGACAAUUGCAAUACAAAUUAUCCCUUCAUCAUAUAUUUCGUUAAAAUUCAUUCUGAAGCACUAAAACUAAACAAUCGAAUAUGGCUUUGAGGGUCGAUGAUGCCAGCAGCAAUGAGAGUGCAAUUAUCACUUGUUUAGUUUCUGUGCUUGCCGUGGCUUAUUUAGCAUGGAAUGUGAAAAAAUCAAGGAAAGCAAAUGCUAAACUGCCACCAGGACCUCGCGGCUUGCCUGUAGUCGGAUACCUCCCAUUUCUCGGGACUACUGACUUGCACAAGAAAUUCACGGAAUUUAUUUUACUAUUAUAUUUAUAUUCAAAAUAAUUUUAAUUAGCUUUUAAAAUGAAUGAUUUUAGGAAAUUAUAAAUAAAGGUAACUAAGAAUUCUCUUAAUGUAAUAUAUUAUUAAUUAGUUUAAAAAUACAAAUUUAUUAAUUAGAGAAAUUAUUAGUGAAUUUAAAUUAAUGAUCUUAAUGAUUUGUUUGUACGAUUGCCCCCAAUCAAAGGUAAUUUUCCUAAAAAUUAUUAGGAAAUUAGAGAAAUUUAAUUUUUUUAGUGGGUUCAAUUGCCCACACACCCCGACUGAAGCAUUUUUUACAAUAUGUACUCCGUUUGUCGGCAGGAAAAUAAAGGUCUUGACACAUGAUCACUUCACUCCUUUAUUUACUUUGCUAACGCAGAUUUUGAGGUAUUAAAACAAAUAAUAAUUGAAUAUGACUUUGUGGGUCGACGACGCCAGCAACGAGGAGACCGCCAAUUAUCACAUUUUAAGUUUGCUGUAAUUGCCGUUGUUUUAUAUUAGUAGAAUAUUAGUGAUAAGAUAAUUGUAGAGUUUUCAUUUUUUUAAUAUUAAAAUCAAGUCAAUUUAUUAUAAUAAAUUUAGUUGAAUUUAAUCGUAUUACCACAUAAAUUGAAUAAUAAUAGAAUUCUCGACAAUAUUUCAAUAUUUUAAUCUCAAGCAUUGGAGUGGCAUUUAUUUGUUAUACGGUCGAUUUUAGAAUUUAUAAAAUUAUUCGUUGCUGAAUUGCACCAUAUGCUGCAUAACCUGAAACUUAAUAAACGGAACGUAGCGUUGGCACCGUUACUCAACAUUCACUGUUACGACUUUGUGACAUUAGAAUUAAAAUCUUUUCCACAUUUAAUUUGUUUACUUCCAACUUAAUAUUUAACAAAAUGUAUGUUAGCAUUGUAUGCCAUAUCAUCUGUAAUUUUGUCAGGAUCGAUCAUUCUAAUUUUUAAGCAGAACUUUUUGUCAAUGGACAAACACCUCAUACAGCUUGUCAGAGGCAUUAGUAUGAUGUAAAAUUGUAAUGGUAUAUCUUGAAUUAUUUUAGAAUAGUGAAUAACUAUUUGGAGCAAUAAAAACAAAUAAGACAGAUGAGAAAAUGGCUAAAAUUAUAUAAGUGACCCAAAAUUUUUUGCUAUUUCCAAGAAAUCCCCAAUCUGAAUGGACCAGAGGGAGGCAAGUUAGAAAUACAUUUCCUUCAUAGACAAUAACAACGAUGAGUGGAUGACAUCAAACCACGUUGGUAUCAAUAUUGAAAUAAAGGUGCAAUUAUUCAGCCAAUGAGCCUUAGUACACAUCAAGAUAUAUAAAAGUCAAGAAAAUGAAAAUUUAUCCCAAUUAAAACUCUUUCUGGCUGCAUUUAGCUGUUUCUGUUUAGGGAUGGCAAUUUAAUCCGGACCCAGCCCGACCCGGAUGAAUCCAGAAAAUUCGGGGUGGAUUCAACCCGUACCGGAGUGAAUAAAAUCUGAUAUUCAAAUUCAAUAUUUUCAACCCGGACGUUUCCGAGUCCGGAUCCGGAUUUGGGUAAACCCGCAUAUCCGGAACCCGGAUCCGGAUAACUAUUUUAAUAUUAAUUUUUAAAUCAUUUUAAAAUAAAAAAAAAUUAGAAAAAAUCAGCCCUAAUGCCCUUCCACAGCCACGGCAGCCAAACCAAACCCAGACAUUUCCUCUCUCUCUCUUUAGCCCUUCUUUUCAACAAAUCAUCAUCGUUGCUCAUCAUCGUUUCGUCGUGUUCAUCUUCAUCUUCAUCAUCAGCUGCCGUUUGUCCAGCUAUGUCACUAGUUUUGGCCGCCGUUUCCGUUUGUGCACCUUCGCAAAUCGGGAUCUCGAUUUGGCCGCCAACACUUCUACCCCCUGGUGUUUUGCUUUGUCCUCGACAACUUCUUUGUUGAUAAAUUGACGGGCACUUAUGAAUGCAUUUGUCUCUGUUUCUUCAUUUACACCUUCCCAGUUGUUUGUUCAUUUGCUUUUUGGAAGGAAAAAAAAAAAAAAUCAGCCACCAUUUAUCCUUCCCCUUUUCUUGACCUAACCCCACAAAGCCCAAUUUGUCAUCAUCAUUCAUUGGCAAAUUUGUUAUCAUCAUGGUUGAGACAUCAUGAUUAUCUUUGAUAAUUGAAUUUGUGUAAUAUGUUACCUUGGAUUUUAUUUCUAAGUAUUUGAUUUUGAAUUAUUUUCCAUUAUUGGUGUUAAUAGAUAGAAGAUUAGAAAGGAAUUCUUCACUGAAUAAAGAGAUGGGAAAUUGCAUCUUUUAGCAAUCAUCCGGGUUAUAAACCCGGAAUCCGGAAACCAGGAUUUUUCCGGGUUUAACCCAGUCCGGACCCGAAUGAAAAAUAUCCGGGUUUACAUCCGGGUCUGGUAUUAAAAUUUAUCGUCCGGAUCCGGAACAGGGAAGACAAAACCCGGACCCGAACCCACAUUUUGCCAUCCCUAUUUCCAUUUGAAGUUAACAACAACGUUUCUUUCGUUUUGUGGGCGACUUGACUGAGCCAGCUGGAUUCUAGUGCUAGUAUGUGAAAAUAGAAGGCUAAUGAUUUCACGUUCACUAGCCCACCUCCCCUCCUCUCGUUUCCUCUGAAUCAAUUUUCACGUGUGGUACCGAUUGAAAAUAUCUCUGACAUUUCGUGGACAUCUCUAUUGAAAAUAUCUCAGACAUUUCACUCAGGCAAACUUAUUAAUAUAAAAAAUCUAUGAUUUUUUCGUCUUAUACUGUAGAAAAAUUUGUCUAUACAUUAAUCUAGAUGUUUGAGGUGGUUUAUACAUCUGUGGUAUAGAUUUAUAGGUUGAUUGAUACGUCUGUGGUAUAGAUUUUAUGUAUUUCAUUAUCAAAUGCUGGCCUUUGGGACCCUAUCUACAUCUAUUUAUAAAACUAACGGGUGCCAGUUAUGCCAUUACAAAUUAUCCCCUCUUCAUACAUUUCCUUAAAAUUCUUCUGAAACACCAAAACUAAAUAAUCGAAUAUGGCUUUGCGGGUCGAUGAUGCCAGCAACAAUGAGGCUGCAAUUAUCACUUGUUUAGUUUCUAUGCUUGCCGUGGUUUAUUUCGUAUGGAAUGUGAACAAAUCAAGGAAAGCAAAUGCUAAACUGCCACCAGGACCUCGCGGUUUGCCUGUAGUCGGAUACCUCCCAUUUCUCGGAACUACUGACUUGCACAAGAAAUUCACGGAAUUAUCCGGAGUUUAUGGUCCGAUCUUCAAGCUCUGGCUCGGAAAUAAAUUAAGUGUCGUGGUGAGCUCACCUUCCCUAGUUAAACAAGUGGUUCGUGAUCAAGAUACAACAUUCGCAGACCGUGACCCGCCGAUCUCAGGACUAGUGACCUCCUUUGGUGGCAAUGAUAUUACAUGGUCCAAUUACGGUCCCGAAUGGAGAAAGUUGCGCAAAUUUUUUGUGGGCAAGAUGAUGAGUAACGCAAGCCUUGAUGCUUGUUAUGCUUUAAGAAAACAUGAGGUUAAAAAUACUAUCAGGGAUUUGUAUAACAACGGCAACAAAAUUGGUAAGCCCAUUGACAUUGGUGAAUUGUCGAUUUCAACAUUGGUAUGUGCUAUGCAGAACAUGCUGUGGGGUGAAGCGCUUGAAUUAAAAGAGAAAGGGACAACUAAUCUUGGGGUUGAGCUAAAAUUUAAGUUUGCAGAACUCAUGGUGCUACUGGGAACACCGAAUAUUUCGGAUAUCUUUCCAAUGCUUUCUUGGCUCGACAUACAAGGUAUAGAGAGGAGAGCAAAGAAGAUUUCACUCUGGUUUGAAAAAAUUAUAAAUUCUACUGUUGAAAAGUAUAGAAGCAAGGACUUUAAUGUUGAAGGUAAAGAAAGAGCAGGGGAAAAUUUUGAAGGAUCAAGGAACAAGAACUUCUUGCAGUUACUAUUGGAGCUUCAAGAAAAUGAAGACGGUUCUUCCUCAAUUAGCAUGAACCAAUUUAAGGCCGUACUCGUGGUAUGUUAAGAAACUAGCCGCAAACAGUUAUACAAGCACAGCUGUAUAUUUUGCAUGAGUGAUAUUUUCAACCUUUUUUUUUUAUAAUUAGAAUUUUAUUGUAACCUUUUGGACAGGAUAUAAUUACGGCUGGAACCGACACCACAACUACGAUGGUGGAAUGGACAAUGGCAGAGUUGAUGCAGCAUCCACAAAUAAUGAAGAAAGUUCAGGAAGAAUUAGCUCAAGUUGUGGGCAUGGACAGUUGUGUUGAAGAAUUUCAUUUGCCUAAAUUGAAAUAUUUAGAUGCUGUGGUGAAAGAAUCGUCUCGUCUGCAUCCUGCAGUGCCUUUAUUACUACCACGCAGAGCAAGCGAGAGUGGCAGCAUUGGUGGCUAUAACAUUCCCAAAGAUACAACUAUUAUGUUGAAUGUUUGGGCAAUCCACAGGGACCCUAAACUUUGGGAUAAUCCCUUAGAAUUUCGACCCGAGAGGUUUCUAGAUGAUGGUAUCGCGAGUAAGUUCGAUUACUCAGGUAACAAUUUUCAGUACUUGCCAUUUGGUUCUGGUAGAAGGAUGUGUGCUGGGAUUCCUCUAGCUGAGAGGAUGCUGAUGUUUGUUUUGGCUUCGUUAUUGCACUCAUUUGAGUGGGAAUUGCCAGCUGGCACAAAGCUAAACUUAUCUGAAAAAUUUGGGAUUGUCAUUAAGAAAAAAGAGCCUUUAGUUGCUAUUCCAACACCAAGACUAUCCAAUUCAGAGCUCUACCAUUAAGACAGAAUGGUUGUGAUGAUUUUGUUAAUUUCCGAAGAUUUGUAUGUUAUGUCAAGUUCAAUCGUAAUAAAAUAUUUCAAAUAAGAGUCCUCCGUUGCUUUUUUUUUUUUUUUCAACCGCAUAAUCUGUCGUCAUGCUUGUAUUUGGGGCUACUUUGGAAUAAUUAUGUUUGAAUUACAAUAUAUAAAUAUUACAUUUUAAAAUUUUAUGAGAUUCUAAAUUUAUACACGUUCAAUAACCCACUUCAUAUAUGUUUAACACAAUUUAUAUCAUACAUUGUAUACCCAUUUGUCAUAAAUUACGCUAUUUUAUAUCUCUAAAUAAUAUUACAUAUUGAUAUUAUAAAAUGUUGUUAACUCACGUGUGUAUAUAUAUAUAGCAAGUCACGUGCAUAUAUUAUUGGUUGUUAUAUGUUUGCUAGUUUGAUAGGAUUUCCUUUCCUUGUGAACUAGGGUAAUUCUUAUGUACAUAUAAAUAUUGAUCAAUAAGAGUGCAGAUGAUGACUGCAGUUUUGCAUCGUAGAAAUUCUUCGUAAAAUAUAUAUGUUUAUCAAAAGGCUAUACCAUUCAAUAUAUAUUGGAAAGAGAACAAAGAAGAUCUUCUUAUGGUUUGAAAAUAUUAUGAAUUCUGCUGUUGAACAGUAUGGAAACAAGGUCUGUUGUUAAAGGUGAAGAAGUCACAGGGAACAAUAUUGAAGGAAGAAAUUUCACGUUUAGUUGCUGAAUUUGCCGCUGUAUUCUAUCGGUAGUAAAAAGAUUAGAGUUUUUAUUUUUCUCUAUUAAUGUUAAGUCAAUUUUCUAUAACAAAUUCGGUUGAGUUUAAUUGUGUUACAAUAUAAAUUGAAUGAUAGUAGAAUUUUCAACGAAUAAUUCAAUAUUUCUAUCUCGAUUGUUGAAGUGCCAUUUAUUUGUUAUACGAUCGAUUUUAAAAUUUAUAAAAUUAUUUGUUACUAAAUUGCAUCAUAUGCUAAAUCACCUGAAACCUAAUUUCAUAACUAACCCUUUAUUUUUAGUUCUCAAGAAAUCUUGUAAGAACAAAAUUCUUUUGUAACAAAACGUUUACAACAAAUUAAUUUGUAACUCAUUCCUGUGCGAGAAUCACUCUCAAUUUCCUUCAAUUGCUGUUUAACAAUCAUCUGCUUAUCAAAAUUCAAGCAUAAUCUUUUUUUUUAAUUUCUUCAUCAUUCUUUUGAAAAAAAAAAUCAGGAUAUGCUGUUAAAUUUUGAAAUAAAUUAUCUCAAAAUAAUUACUAACCAGAAAAAACAAAGGGGUUUAACUAGGUUAUGCAUACCUUUGAAAAUUAUAUGUUGAUCGAUAAGAAUGAUGAUCACGAUUGACGAGUUUAAUUAAAAUAUAUAAGAUUUUAAAAUUAAUCAGGGUUAAAUUGUGAAUUUUAGAAAGAGAGGUUUUGUGAGAAUGUUGAAAGGGUGUUAAUAGUUCCACUCUUUUUAAAAACAACCAUAGUCAUCAUUUUUCCAUGGUUGUUUUUAAAAAGAGUAUUUCUUCUUCCCAUCUCCAUCUUAUUUAGAAAUUUCCCAGAGCCUUUGUUUCCCACCUUUCAUUUUUCUUCUUUCUAAUUUAAUAAUCCACCCUUCUUGUAUUCAAACUAAAAAAUUAAAAUCUGAAAAUUUAAAACCCAAUAUUAUAGUAUUAUAAAAAUAAUUACUCACAUUUUAUCAAACACCUCCAUUCUUCCAAGGCCUUGUUUUAGUAGUAGGCUUUUAUUAUCUCAAUAAAAUUGAAAAAAAAAAUCUCAAUAAUAUUGGAAAAAAACCCUACCCAUAUUUGUAACUUUAAUUUAUUAUUCUCCAUAGACCUACUUUUUAGUUUUGAAUUUUGUUGGAGCCAUAUAUAAACAGAAUAUGUUGAAAUCAGCACCCAAAAAAAAAAAAACUAAUUAUAUAAUUUAUGUUCCCAAGGACAUGGCUGAGUGAUUUUCAAGAAGUUUUGUUUGGCUGGCCACUUAGGUUUAAAUCUUGGUGGAGAUUAAGGGUUAAGAAAUAAAUUUAGACUUUGCACACCCCUUUAACUUUUAAAAAGAAAUGAAAAAAUUAAUUAAUUAAUCUUUAUUUUAUUUAUUAAAUGUCAUAAUCCUAUGCGUAUUUUAUUUGUUAUCUUUCUAUUUAAAAGACGAGGGCAGAUAAAACUGAAAUAAAUUUUUAGCCCUAUCUCCAUAUUUCAAGUUCCAUAGUUAGGUGACCAGCUAAAAAAAAUUAAUUGAAAGCUACUCCAUCAAAUUAAAAAAAUUUAUUUAUUUAAUUUGUGGAGAUGUAGAAAAUCAAACCCCAUACCUUUUCGCAUACACUGAACAUAUUUUAAUACAUGACUAUCAUCCUUUAUCCUAAAUACUACUAUAACUAAUAACAUACAAUUGAAAUAAUUAAUGUUAACACUUGGCUAUAAAUAAAGGUUUUGUGCUUGAAUCUUCACGCAUGACCUUCAUUCCUUUAUUGACUUUGCUAACACAGAUUUUGAGGCAUUAAAACUAAAUAAUAAUUGACUUUGUGGGCCGAGGAUGCCAGCAACAAGGAGACCACAAUUAUCACUUAAGUUACUCUAAUUGCCGUUGUCUUAUAUUCAUAGAAUAUUAGUAAUAAGAUUAUUGCAGAAUUUUUUUAAUAUUAAAAUUAAGUCAAUUUGUUAUAACAAAUUUAGUUGAGUUUAAUCGUGUUACUACAUAAAUUGAAUAAUAAUAGAAUUCUCGACAAAUAUUUCAAUAUUUUUAUCCCAAGCGUUGGAGUGGCAUUUAUUUGUUAUACGAUCGAUUUUAGAACUUAUAAAAUUAUUCGUUACUGAAUUGCACCAUAUGCUGCAUGACCUGAAACUUAAUAAACGGAAUGUAGCGUUGGCACCGUUACUCAACAUACUGUUACGACUUUGUGACAUUAGAAUUAAAAUCUUUUGCACAUUUAAUUUGUUUACUUCAAAAUUAAUAUUUAACAAAAUAUUUUUUUCACAUUAUCAAUGGACAAAACUCCAACGAAAAUAACUACACAAGAAAAAUGUAUGCUAGUAUUGUGUGCCAUAUCAUCUGUAAUUUUGUCAGGAUCGAACACUCUAAUUUUUAAGCAGAACUUUUUAUCAAUGGACAAACACCUCACACAGCUUGUCAGAGGCAUUAUUAUGAUAGAAAACUGUAAUGGUAUAUCUUGAAUUAUUGGUAGAAUAGUUCUUUGGAGCAAUAAAAAUAGAUAAGACAGAUGAGAAAAUUGUCAAUACCCCACCGCAAAAGCAAAAGAAAAAAAGGAAAGGAGACAAAAGAGGAAGAAGAAAAAAAGGAAAGGAGACAAAAGAGGAAGAAGAAAAAGAAAAAAGAACGAAGAAAAAAAUGGUGCCGCGCUGUAUUGGGAAGAAGAAAAAAAUUAAUAAAAUAAUAAUAAAUAAUAAAUAAUAAAUAAUAAAAUAAUAGUGCACAACAAUCAUUUGAUUGCUAUAAAUAAAGGGGCAUUUUCCUCAUUUUAUUCAUCGAAUUCUUCAGUUCCUUUCAAGCGAUUUAAGAGUCUAGUGAUUUGAGAGUUUGGGAGUAUUGUGAUUUUGAGUACUAAGUUAAAAUACUAUAAUACUUGUAACUCAUUUUCACUAGUAAAAUAUUUUUCUUCUGUCUUCGCCCGUAGACGUAGGCUAAAAGCUGAACCACGUAAUUUCUGGUGUCCCUAUGUGAUUAUGUGUCUCAUUAUUUCUCAAUUUUACUUUAGUUACGUGUCUGCUACACCCUUCAAUUUACUAACAAAAAUGGCCAAAAUUAUAUAAGUGACCCAAAUUUUUUUGCUAUUUCCAAGAAAUCCCCAAUCGGAAUAGACCAAACUAGAGGGAGGCAAGUUAGAAAUACGUUUCCUUCAUAAACAAUAACAGCGAUGAGUCGAUGACAUCGAGCCACGUCGGUAUCAAUAUUGAAUUAAAGGUGCAAUUAUUCAGCCAAUGAGCCUUACACAUCAAGAUAAAAGUCAAGAAAAUGAAAAAUUUAUCCUAAUUAAAACACUUUCUGGCUGCAUUUAGCUGUUUCUAUUUGAAGUUAAAAACAACAUUUCUUUCGUUUUGUGGGCAACUCGACUGAGUUCGCUGGCUUCUAGUGCUAGUAUGUGAAAAUAGAAGGCUAAUGAUUUAUUUGUUAUCUUUUGACAAAAAAUGUUAAAGAUAUAAUAGAUUUUCCAUGAUACAAAUGAAAAAUUAUAUCAACAUAACUUCCAAGCUACAGCAGCUAGUGUUUACCAAACACUUUGCUGUAGCUUUUAAGCUACAGCUGCCCAACCUCAAUAGGUUGAUUGAAUUUGUGGGAUAUAGAUUCCACAUAUCUCAUGACCUAUUAAUUAUACAAGUGGUUCUUGAUCAAGAACAACAUUUGCUUCCGACCCAGUAACCCAGCAACUGCUGCACUGGUCGCCACCUAUGGUGCCGACGAUAUUGCAUGGUCCAAUUAUGGCCUUGAAUGGAAAAAGUUGAGCAAAUUAUUUGUGGGCACGAUGAUAAGUAACGCAAGCCUUGAUGCUAGUUAUGGUCGAAGAAAACAAGAGGUUAAGAAUACUAUCAGAGAUAUGCAUAACAACAAAAAGGAAAAAAAAAAAAAAAGGCAUUGGCAAGUCAAUUGAUAUUGCUGAAUUGUCGAUUUCAACUUUGGCAUGUGUAAUUCAGACAUUGCGCGUUGUGGUAUGGCGCUGGCACGCUUGCAUUGCCGAGAGGACAAAUCUUGGGGCUGGGCUAAAAUUUAGGCUUGUAGAACUCAUGGUGCUAAUGGGAACGCCAAAUUUUUUUAACAUAUUUCGGUGCUUUCAUGGUUUAAUUCAAGGUAUAGAAAGGAGUGUUGAGAAUGUCAAAUAAAACGACAUUGAAUGGAAGUUGUCAAAGACAUGAUCCGCACUGAACGGCAAUGACACGGUUGGUAAAGAUUUUUUCAUAAUAUGCGUAUCUAAUUUUUGAAAAAUUGUAACCUCUGCUUCUAUAAAUAUGCUCAAUGUAUAAUGUUUUACUUAAGAAAUGAAAAACUUAAUUCUUUAUGGUAUCAGAGCGAGGCUCGUUGCUCUGUUUGUAACAAAAACAAAGAAAACUAAAUUCUUCCCACAACUAUUUUUCCACCUUUUUUUCUUCCUUAAAAGCAUUCCUAGCAUUACAGAAACCCAUGCCAAUAAAAGAACAAGCCACACAUAUGUAAAAACUUUAGUUUACAAAUCUAUCAACAUCCCCAUAAAUUUUCCCAAAAAGUGAUCUUCAAAAACCAAAAAUACCAUCAAUUUUCGCAUCUUCUAGUAAACAAACUAUAAAAGUUUCGCACUCAAACAGAGCCACACGCGCCUCCACGCGCUUCCCGGAAUCACGGCCAACCACCACGCGCCUCUGUCACCACCAACUCACCCUCAUGCGCUCCAGAUGUUGCAGAAGACGCAAAACGACGUGUCGUUUUCUUCUCUAAAAGUGCAGCAACGUGGAAAUGACUUUUUGUUUUUGCCUUAAAUUGUUUUUCCUCGUUUGAAGCUAUACAACAUUUUUCUUUCUAAACCUGUUUUUUACAAUAAAAAAAGAAAAAAAUGGAGAAAACUCCAACUGAAUCUACUCAUGUUGUCAUUCAAUCUGUUCAACCUGAUGGAGUAUUUAAUGCCGAAAUUAUCCUUACUAAGACAAACUACGAUAUUUGAUCUCAAAUAAUGGAGAUGCAUCUCGCAGAAAGAAAAAAACUCCCAUAUAUUCGUAGCAGCAUAAAUCCAUCUGACAAAUUUUCAAAGAAAUAUGAGAAAUGGUAUAGUGAGAACCAAAAAGUAAAAAGAUGGUUACUCAUAACCAUGUGUCCUGAGAUCAUGAAGCGAUAGUUACAAAUUCCUACAGCCUACGAAAUUUAGAAUGCAUUAUCAAAAGCCUUUUAUAAUGGAAGCGAUGAAAUACAAGUUUUCACUCUAAAUCAGAAGGCGUUCUCUACGAAGCAAAAUGGACAACCACUCUCUAAAUUCUACGGAGAAUUGAUCAAAAUGUUUCAAGAACUUAAUCACCGAGAUAAAGUGGUCAUGAAGGAUCCAGAAGAUGUUAUAAUAUAUAGGAAGUUUGUUGGAAGAUUGAGAGUGCACAUUUUUCUUGCUGGACUAGAUGAAGAAUUUGACCAAGUUUGUGGAGAAAUUCUACGAAAAGAUACUAUCCUAGACUUAAAAGAAUGUUAUUCUCUAAUCCGAAAAGAAGAUGUACGGCAAAGCAAACUAACAAGAAGGUGGACGACUCAGAAACGUCUGCUAUGAUACCACAAGAGAACAAUGUUUUGAAAUUGUUCGAUAUCCUGACUGGUGGGAUACUCGAAGUAAUAACACAAAGCAGAGAUAAAAAACUGCAGUAGCUGAAUCCACAUCCACUACAGAUCUUAGAAAAGAAUCUUCAGCGCAAAUUGCAACCUCUGUCAAUUCAGGUAAGGUCAUUAAAACUCUUACAUUUGUUAUUAAUAGUAUAUGGAUAAUUGAUUAUGGUGCAACUGAUCAUAUGACUUUUGAUUCUUGACAAGUUUCUUAAUUGAAACCAUCUUCACAUAAACAUGUUUCUACUGUAAAUAGAACCACAACCUCAGUUAUUGGGGAAGGAUCUUUACAACUCACAAUUAAAUCAAAUUUAGACUUUGUGUUAAUUGUUCCAUCUUUAAAUUAUAAUCUUUUAUAUGUGUCUCAAAUAACCUCUUACUUAUCAUGUGUUGUAAUGUUUUGGCCCGAUCAUUGCAUGUUUAAGGACAUCCAAAUGAAGGAAACGAUUGGUUAUGAUAUUAAAUAAGGCAACUUGUAUUACCUGGAGAUGACAUCAACAAACACUGAAAAGCUAAGCCCCGCAUUAGUAGCAGACAAUUCCAUGAAAAAAAAGGAAAUAAGAAAUUUGGUUAUGGCAUAGACGAUUAGGGCAUGUGUCAUUUGAUUUCUUAAAAAAAUUGUUUCCUAGUUUGUUUCUGAAAUUUGAUAUUUGUAACUUUAAAUAUGAUGUUUGUGAACUUUCAAAUAGCCAUCGAACUACUUUUCCAUUGUCCUUAAAUAAGAAUCCAAUUCCUUUAAUGGUAGUACAUUCUGAUGUAUAGAGACCAUCUAAAGUUUCUACCAUUGGAAGAGCUCGUUGGUUUGUUACAUUUAUUGAUGAUUGUAGCAGAAUGACAUGGAUUUUUUUAUGAAAUUAAAAUCAUAUGAUGGUGACAACUCUAUUUCAGACACAAAUUUGAGUUCUACAUACUGAUAAUGGAGGCGAGUAUAUGAGCACAACAAUUCAACAGUUUUUGAAAUCACAAUGAACUCACCACCAAACCACUUGUGUGGGGACACUCCAACAAAAUGGCGUUGCUAAACAAAAAAAUAGACAUUUACUAGAAGUUGUUCAAGCAUCACUAAUUUAGGCCCGCAUGCCACUAUUUUAUUGGGGAGAAGCAUUGGCAUCCGUAGCAUACUUGAUCAAUCGGACACCUUCAAUCUUCCUUGGAUUCCAAACUUAUUUUCUAGUUCUAAAUGAAGAAUUAUGUCAUCAAAUGUGUCGAAUUUACCCCCACAUAUGUUUGGUUGUGUUGCCUUCGUUCAUUUGCCAUGACAAGAUAAAUUAUCUCCUCGAGCACUACGUUGUGUGUUUGUAGGGUAUGCCUUACAUCAAAAGGGGUACCGAUGCUAUCAUCCUCUAUUAAGAAAAAAUAUACAUCACCAUGGACAUAAUCUUUCAUGAAGAUAUCAUGUAGUACCCAUCGGAGCUUGAAUUUCAGAGGGAGUAUAAUGAAGAGGAAAUUCAUACUCUUACAUAUCUUUCACCUGAAGAAGAUCAAUCCUCCAUUGAGGUAGUAAACGUUCAAGAUACUGGAAAAGAAAACGACAAUGAUUCUCAGGCUGAGACAAGUGAAGACACAUUUAGGGAGCAAAAUAACUCAGACAUAACCACAAUCGAGAACGAGUCCAUGAAGAGCCACAUGAAGAAAUAUCUAACCAAUCAUCUGCAGAGGAUGAUCCUACCACAAAUCCCAGUCUAAUCAGAAGAAUACUUCCCCAGCAUCAAAAUAGAGGUAUCUCUAAACCCACAUAUAAGACUGACCUCUCUAGUAGAGUCAAAUACCCUAUGAGUCAUUUUGUAUCUAACCAUGGCUUAUCAAAAUCAAAUCAGUCAUUUGUGAAUCAAUUAUCUACUGUGUCUAUUCCUAACAGUGUGCAAUAAGCCUUAAAAUAUCGAAAGUGGAAAGGGCUAUGAAUGACGAAAUGAGAUCUCUUUAAAAAAAAUCAAACAUGGGAACUAAUUGAUCUUCCACCAGGAAAGAAACCAGUGGGUUGCCGAUGGAACUAGUUGAUCAUCCACCUCCAUUCUGACAAGCAAUGUUUAUCAGCAAUAACAAAUGACUGAAGCAUUUUAAUGAGGUUAGUAACGAAAAAGAGUUUAAUUAGAGAAUAUUAUAAGAGAAAUUCUAAUUUUUGAUUUUUAAUAAAUUAAAAUAUCUUAAAAUAUUAUUAGUUGGUGGUGGUUUCAUGUCAGAUUAAGACGUGACACCUUACUAAUGAGGUCGAGACAAUUAGCUUAAAUUAUUUCAAUGCAUUUGAAAUUUCCACUAAUGACUAUAAUUCUUUGUCCUAAUUACUAUGAUAAUUAAUAACAUACAAUUGAAAUAGUUAAUAUUAGCACUUGGCAAUAAAUAAUUAAAUUUCAUUAACACUAAAUAAUAAUUGAAUAUGGCUUUGUACAUCGAUGACGCCAGCAACAAGGGGACCGCGAUUAUCACUCUUUAAGUUGCUUUUAAAAUUGAUUUUAGUAGUGAUAUGAUUAUUGUAGUGUUUUUAUUUUUUAUAUUAAAAUUAAGUGAUUUGUUAUAAUAAACUUAGUUGAGUUUAAUGGUAUUACUACAUAAAUUGAAUAGUUAUCAAAUAUUUUAAUAUUUUUAUGGCAAGCGUUGACGUGGCAUUUAUUUGUUGUAUGAUGGAUUUUAAAAUUUAUAAAAUUAUUUGUUAUUAAAUUACCCCCAGAUGCUACAUCACCUGAAACUUAAUAAAGGUAUGAAGACAUGUGUGUGUGGACUGAAAUGAAGAAUAUGGAAAAGUUGAGAGCUGUUGUGCAGAUUGAGUUCAGUUGAUGGGGUCUAUUAGAUAUUGUCUGCUGACGUGGCAUGAAUUCGUUAUAAUCUGUUAUAACGAGUUCAGUAUAUCAGUAUACAAUAGAGCUGAUGGAUGGUGCCUGUUUUAGAGUCUUUUUUAUAUUCAUUUGUUCAUCAUUUUGCGCAAGAUCUGUUCCAUUGUGAUAUGUGUAAAGUCUUAUGUAAACCCACUUAUGAUUGGAUUAGUUCUUGAUUAAUAACAACGAGUAAAUUUUCCUUCAAGUGUGCUGGUCUGUGCCCCUGUUUUUUGUUCUGAUAUUGUUUCUUUGUUCUGGCAUUUCAUUUCGAUUGUGUUCUUGGUGUUUCUACUCAUCAAGAUUUAUGAGUCUUGUUGAGAUUAAAGACUUAAUAGUCUUAACAAGUGGUAUCAGAGCCUGGUGAAUCUCAGCCAUGUCUCUUUCGAAGCAUGAAAUUGAAAAAUUCACCAUUGGUGGUGAUUUCUCGCUUUCGAAAUUAAAAAUGAGGGCUCUCCUUGUGCAUUAGAGGCUUGAAUUUGCUCUGGAAAAAGAUAAUCUAGAGGCUGCUACAAGUUAUGUGACUGAUGAUAAGAAGAGACAAAUCCAAAACCGAGCUCGUAGCACUCUAGUUUUGAGUCUUGGUGACUCAAUCUUGAGAAAGAUUUCUGAAGAGAAGACAACCUUAGGGAUUUGGAACAAGGUAGAAGCUUUGUGUACAAAGAAGUCGCUAGCUCACAGACUAUUCUUGAAGAAAAAGUUAUACACAUUCUCGAUGAGAGAAGGAGUCACAAUUCAAGAUCACAUUGAUACCUUCAACAAGAUCAUUCUUGAUCUUGAAGGGGUGGAAAAUGUGACAAUAAGUGAUGAAGAUAAAGCCUUCUUCUUGUUGAGUUCCUUACCAAAGUCUUAUGAAGGCUUUGUAGAUACAAUGCUUUAUGGCAGAACAACAUUGACUCUUGAAGAUGUUAAAGCAUCUCUAAGUUCAAAAGAGAUUCAGAAGAACAAUGAGAUUGAAACAAAUAAUGGUGAUGGGCUGAUUGCCAGAUCAGAAAAGAAGAAAGAUCAGAAGAAUAAAAAUCAGGGAAAAUGACAUGGAAAGAAUUAAGAAAAUGCAGACAAGAAGAAAAAGAAGAGAAAAUGCUUCUACUGCCGGAAGGAAGGGCAUUACAUCAGGGAUUGUCUUAAAAAGAAAAAAAAAGAAAGUCAAGAGAAGUCAGGGGAUGCAGCUGUAGCCUCUGAUGAUGCCUCUGAUGGAUAUCACAUUGCUGAUUUACUUGUGGCCUCAAAUAGCAAUACUAAAGGUCAGUGGGUCAUAGACUCUGAGUGCUCUUUUCACUUGUGGCCUGAUAAAACCAUAUUUUACAAAUAUGAAGUUGUUGAUGGUGGUAGAGUCUUAAUGGGAAAUAAUAAUGUGUGUAAUCUUGUUGGUAUUGGUUCUGUGAAGAUCAAGAUGUUUGAUGGAACUGUAAGAGCUCUACAUGAGGUGAGGCAUGCUCCUAGGCUAAAGAGAAAUCUAAUCUCUUUAGGCAUGCUAGACAGCUUAGGGUAUUUCUUUAAAUCAGAAAGUGGUGGUUUAGAGAUAAGAAAGGGGACUGAGAUAGUGAUGAAGGGGGUUAAAGAAAAUGGCUUAUAUGUAUUGUAAGGCUCAUCAGUGCUUCUUCAAAAGGGAAUUUCUGCUCUUUUUGAGGAAGAUAUAACCAAGUUAUGACAUCUUAGACUUGGUCAUAUGAGUGUCAAAGGGAUGUAAGAGCUCAGCAAACAAGGGCUACUUGGUGGGGAUAGAAUCCAGCAACUGGAAUUAUGUGAAAAUUGCAUUUUUGGCAAAGCUCACAGGUCCAAGUUUCACAAGGGGGAGCAUAUGUCUAAGCAAGUUUUGGACUAUGCACAUGCUGACCUUUGGGGGCCUGCUCAAGUCCCAUCCUUGAGUGGUGGCAGGUAUUUCAUAUCACUAAUUGAUGAUUACUCAAGGAAGAUGUGGGUCUACAUACUCAAGACCAAAGAUCAAGCCUAGGAAAAAAUUCAAGGUAUAGAAAUCUUUGGUAGAAAAUCAAUUUGGAUUCAAGCUCAAAUGCUUGAGAACUGAUAAUGGUUUGGAAUUUUGUAGCAAAGAAUUUGAGGAAUAUUACAAAAAAACAUGGCAUAAAAAGGCACAAAACAGUCAGGUUCACCCCCCAGCAGAAUGGCUUGGCUGAAAGGAUGAACAUGACCUUGGUAGAUAAGACCAGAUGUAUGUUGAUAAAUUCAAAGCUUCCAAGAAGCUUUUGGGCAGAAGCUGUCAAUACAACAAGUUGUUUGGUUAACAGAAGCCCAUAUUCUGCAAUUGGCUUCAAAACACCAGAAGAAUUGUGGAAGGAAAAACCUGUAAAUUACCAAAAUCUCAGUGUUUUUGGAUGCCCUGCUUAUCUCCACAUCAAUCAAGGCAAGCUGGAAGCUAGGGCCUUGAAAGGAGUCUUUGUUGGAUAUCCUGAUGGGGUUAAGGGAUACAUAAUCUGGUGUAGAGAGUAAGGGAAGUGUAUAGUCAGCAGGGAUGUUGUGUUUCAUGAAUUUGGAUUGCUAAAAGAAAAUGCAGAGAAUGAUACUAGACUACAAAAUGAUUCAAUAAUUAUCAAACAAUCUGGAACUUCCAAGGUUAAGGUGGAGCUGUUUGGAAAUAAAGACAGUAGAAAAGAGGUAGCUGAUUAUGAAGAGAGGACCACAGCUAAAGUUGAGGAACAUGAGUCAUCAGAGUUGCCACAAGCUGACUUGCAGACUUAUCAGUUAGCAAGAGAUAGAGUUAGAAGAGAAGUCAAAGCACUAGUGAGGUAUGGCUAUGCUGACUUAAUUACUUAUGCAUUGUUGUGUGCUGAUGAUGUGGCAAUUGAAGAGCCUGCUAACUUCUCUGAAGUUAUUGAAAGUGUGCAUUGUGAUAAGUGGCUUGAGGCAAUGCAAGAUGAAAUGGGAUCCCUUCAAAGAAAUCAGACCUGGACACUUGUUCCAAAUCUAGGUAAUAAAAAGUUGAUCAGUUGUAAGUGGAUCUUCAAGAAGAAUGAAGGAAUUCCAGAUGUUGAACCUCCCAAAUAUAAAGCAAGGCUAGUGGCUAGGGGGUUUACACAGAGAAAGAGUGUAGAUUUCAAUGAAAAAUUUUCCCCUGUUCUUAAGCACAUUUCAAUAAGAAUUUUAUUAGUCAUGGUAGCCUUACUUGACUUGGAGCUUGAGCAAAUGGAUGUAAAAACAGCAUUCCUUCAUGGUAAUCUUGAAGAACAGAUAUUGAUGGCACAACCUAAAUGUUUUGAGUGCAAAGGAAAUGAGGAUUAUGUUUGUUUGCUGCAUAAGUCCUUGUAUGGACUCAAGCAAUCCCCACGACAGUGGUACAUAAGAUUUGAUGAUUUUAUGGUCUCAAAAGGCUAUCACAUAAGCAAAUAUGACAGUUGUGUUUACUUUGGUGGAUCAUAUCAAGGUGGAGUUGCUUAUUUGCUUCUGUAUGUUGAAGAUAUGUUAAUUGCAAGAAAAUAUAAGUUGGAGAUAGAGAGGUUGAAGAAAUGAAGGAUCUCGGCAAUGCCAAAAGAAUCCUUGGGAUGAACAUUACAAGGGGCAGAUCUGCUGACACUUUGUUCUUGAGUCAUGAGAAAUAUAUCAAGAAGGUUCUGGAGAGGUUUGAGAUGCAAGACUAUAAACCUGUCCAAACACCACUUGGUCCCCAAUUCAAGUUGACAGCAGCUCAAUCAUCAGAAGAUGAGUCUCAGGUGAGUGAAUUCCCAUAUGCACAGGUUGUAGGGAGCCUGAUGUAUGUAAUGGUAUGCACCAGGUCAGAUAUAGCUUAUGCAGUAAGUGUUGUCAGCAAAUUUCUCAGUUGUCUAGGCAAGGUUCACUGGAAUGUUGUAAAAUGGAUAAUGAGAUAUCUUAAGGGCUCUUUUACUUGUGGUUUGCUGUAUGGGAAGACUAAGAGUGACAUAAGUGAAGUCCUGGGGUUUGUAGACUCUGACUUUGCUGGAGAUCUUGAUAGAAUGAAGUCAACCUCAGGGUAUAUGUUUGUGUUAAACAGUUGCCUGAUUAGCUGGAAGUCAUCACUUCAGUCUGUGGUUGCUUUAUCCUCAACUGAAGCUGAGUUUGUUGCAACUACAGAGGCAGUAAAAGAGGCCAUGUGGCUAAGAGGUUUGCUUAAUGAGUUAUGGUUAAAUCAGAAAAUUGUUCAGGUUUUCUGUGAUAACCAAAGUGUCAUACACCUGGUAAAGAAUCAGAUGUAUCAUGAAAGAACCAAGCACAUUGAUGUGAAGCUCCAGUUUAUCAGAGAUGAGGUUGGAAAAGGAACUAUAAUUGUGUCCAAGAUCUAUACCAGUGUGAAUCCAACUGAUGUUAUUACAAAAGCACUUCCCACUGCAAAAUUUGAAUUCUAUGUGAAUCUAAUGGGCAUCUCGCCCAAACCUAACUAAAUUCAAUAGUGAAUUGUAGUUGAAUGAAGGUUUUUUAGGUGCUGUGUUAUUGAAAGGAUCAACUGAAUCAACUGCAAGGUGGAGAAUGUGAAGAUGUGUGUGUGGACUGAAAUGAAGAAUAUGAAAAAGUUGAGAGCUGUUGUGCAGAUUGACUUCAGUUGAUGGGGUCUAUUAGAUAUUGUCUGCUGACGUGGUAUGAAUUCGUUAUAAUCUGUUAUAACGAGUUCAAUAUAUCAGUAUAUAAUGGAGCUGAUGGAUGGUGCCUGUUUUAGAGUCUUUUUCGUAUUCAUUUGUUCAUCAUUUUGCACAAGAUUUGUUCCAUUGUGAUCUGUGUAAAGUCUUCUGUAAAUCCACUCAUGAUUGGAUUAGUUCUUGAUCAAUAACGAGUAAAUUUUCCUUCAAGUGUGCUGGUCUGUGCCCCUGUUUUUGGUUCUAAUAUUGUUUCUUUGUUUUGGCAUUUCAUUUCGAUUGUGUGCUUGGUGUUUCUACUCAUCAAGAUUUGUGAGUCUUGUUGAGAUUAAAGGCUUAAUAGUCUUAACAAAAGGGAAUGUAGCAUUGCCAUUAAUCAACAUUCACUCUUAUGACUUUAUGACAUUAGAAUUAAAAUCUUUCGUACAUUUAAUUUAUUUGCUUCCAAAUUAAUCUUUAAUAAAUAUUUUUUCACAUUAUCAUCAAUGGACAAAACUCCAACGAAAAUAACUACACGAGAACAAUUUAUGCUAGUAUUAAAUGCCACGAUAUCUAUAACUUUGUCUGGAUCGAUCAUUCUAAUUUUUUCGCAGAACUUUUUGUCAAUGGACAAACACCUCACAGAGCUUGUCAGCCGCAUUAUUACGAUGUAAAAUUGUACCGGAAUAUCUUGAAUUAUUAGUAGAAUAAUGAAGACUAUUUGGGGCAAUAAAAACAAAUAACGCAGAUAAAAAAAUGGCUAAAAUUAUGUAAGUGAGCCCCAAAGUUUUUGCUAUUUCCAGGAAAUCCCAAAUUUGAAUGGACUAGAGGGAGGCACGUAAGAAAUACAUUUUCUUCCUAGACAAUGACAGCUAUGACAUCAAGCCACGGUGGCGUCAGUAUUGAAAUUAAGGUGUAAUUAUUCAGCCAAUGAGCCUUACACAUCAAGAUAAAAGUCAAGAUAAUGAAAAUUUGGCUGUUUCCAUUUGAAGUUAAAAGCAACGUUUCUUUCGUUUUGUGGGCGACUCGACUGAGCACGCCCCAAUAGCUAUAUUUAGGGCGUCAAUUUGAUAUUUGAAUGGACAGGCAAGUAAGAAAUACAUUUCCUUCAUAGACAAUGACAACGAGGACAUCAAGCCACAUCAUUAUAGUUUGUAGCCCAUCUACAUUUAAACGAUUAAUAAACAAGCUUAGGUGUGCCACUGCUAUUAUUAAUUAUCCCCUGAUCAUUAUAGUUUCUGAAACAGUAAAACUAAACGAAAUUGAAUACAUCAACGAGACCGCAAUUAUCACUUGUUUAGUUGCGGUAUUUAACUUAAUUUUAAUAUAAUAUAUUUGUUAGUUAAACUUUUAAUAAUCAAAUAAUUUUGAUUUAAAAAUAAAAUUAUAGAAAUUAUUAAUUAUUAAUUAUUAAAAAUUCACAAUUAAGGGAACGUUCAUCAAACACACAUAGCUAUUGUUUUCUCUAUAUAUUGCAGUGUGUACGAUAUUGAGGGUUGAAGCCCCAAGCAUGCUCUAAAAUCCAGAUAAUAAUUAGAUCCGGGCCAAAUAUUCAUCAUUGUGUCAGCUGAUCAGUCGGUGGACAUCUCUAUUGAAAAUAUCUCUGACAUUUCACUCGACAAACUUAUUAAUAUAAAAAAUCUGUGGUUUUGCCGUCUGAAUAAUGUAGAAAAAUUUGUCUAUGCAUUAAUCUAGAUGUUUGAGGUGAUUUAUACAUCUGUGGUAAAGAUUUAUAGGUUGACUUAGACGUCUGUGGUAUAGAUUUUAUGUAUUUCAUUACAAAAUGCUGGCCGUUAGAACCCUUUCUACAUCUAUUUAUAAGAUUAACGGGUGCCAGCUAUGCCAUUACAAAUUAUCCCCUCAUCAGAUAUUUCGUUAAAAUUCAUUCUGAAACACUAAAACUAAAUAAUCGAAUAUGGCUUUGCGGGUCGAUGAUGCCAGCAGCAAUGAGACUGCAAUUAUCACUUGUUUAGUUUCUGUGCUGGCCGUGGUUUACUUCGCAUGGAAUGUGAAAAAAUCAAGGAAAGCAAAUGCUACACUGCCACCAGGACCUCGCGGCUUGCCUGUAUUCGGAUACCUCCCAUUUCUUGGAACUACUGACUUGCACAAGAAAUUCACGGAAUUAUCCGGAGUUUAUGGUCCGAUCUUCAAGCUUUGGCUUGGAAAUAAAUUAUGUGUAGUGGUGAGCUCACCUUCCCUAAUUAGACAAGUGGUUCGUGAUCAAGAUACAACAUUCGCGAACCGUGACCCACCGAAGGCUGCACUAGUGGUCUCCUAUGGUGGCAAUGAUAUUGCAUGGUCCAAUUACGGUCCCGAAUGGAGAAAGUUGCGCAAAUUUUUUGUGGGCAAGAUGAUGAAUAACGCAAGCCUUGAUGCUUGUUAUGCUCUAAGAAGACAAGAGGUUAAAAAUACUAUCAGGGAUUUGUAUAACAACGACAACAAAAUUGGCAAGCCCAUUGACAUUGGUGAAUUGUCGUUUUCAACAUUGGUAUGUGCUAUACAGAACAUGCUGUGGGGUGAAGCGCUUGAAUUAAAAGAGAAAGGGACCACUAAUCUUAGGGCUGGGCUAAAAUUUAAGCUGGCAGAACUCAUGGUGCUUGCGGGAACACCGAAUAUUUCGGAUGUCUUUCCAAUGCUUUCAUGGCUUGACAUACAAGGUAUAGAGAGGAGAGCAAAGAAGAUUUCACUCUGGCUUGAUAAUGUUAUAAAUUCUACUGUUGAACAGCAUAGAAACAAGGAGUUAACUGUUGAAGGUGAAGAAAGAGCGGGGAAAAAUUUUGAAGGAUCAAGGAACAAGAACUUCUUGCAGUUACUAUUGGAGCUUCAAGAAAAUGAUGACAGUGCUUCCUCAAUUAGCAUGAACCAAUUCAAGGCCGUACUCGCGGUAUGUUAAGCAACUAGCCACGAACAGUUAUACAAGCACAAUUGUAUAUUUGCAUGAGUGAUAUUUUCAACCUUUUUUUUUAAUUAGAAUUUUAUUGUCACCUUUUGGACAGGAUAUAAUUACGGCUGGAACCGACACCACAACUACGAUGGUGGAAUGGACAAUGGCAGAGUUGAUGCAGCAUCCACAAGUAAUGAAGAAAGUUCAGGAAGAAUUAGCUCAAGUUGUGGGCAUGGACAGUUGUGUUGAAGAAUUUCACCUGUCUAGAUUAAUGUAUUUAGAUGCUGUGGUGAAGGAAACAUUUCGUCUGCAUCCUGCAGUGCCUUUAUUACUACCACGUAGGGCAAGCGAGAGUGGCAACAUUGGUGGCUAUACCAUUCCCAAAGAUACAACUCUUAUGUUGAAUGUUUGGGCUAUCCACAGGGACCCUCACCUUUGGGAUAAUCCCUUAGAAUUUCGACCCGAGAGGUUUCUGAAUGUUGGUAUCGAGAGUAAGUUCGAUUACUCAGGUAACAAUUUUCAGUACUUGCCAUUUGGUUCUGGUAGAAGGAUGUGUGCUGGGAUUCCUCUAGCUGAGAGGAUGCUGAUGUUUGUUUUGGCUUCGUUAUUGCACUCAUUCGAGUGGGAAUUGCCAACUGGCACAAAGCUAAACUUAUCAGAAAAAUUUGGGAUUGUCAUUAAGAAAAAAGAGCCUUUGGUUGCUAUUCCAACACCAAGACUAUCCAAUUCAGAGCUCUACCAUUAAGACCAAAUGGUUGUGAUGAUUUUGUUAAUUUCCGAAGAUUUGUAUGUUAUUUCAAGUUCAAUCGUAGUAAAAUAUUUCAAAUAAGAGUCCUCCGUUGCUUUUUUUUUUUUUUUUCAACGGCAUAAUCUGUGGUCAUGCUUGUAUUUGGAGCCACUUUAGAAAAAUUAUGUUUGAAUUACAAUUUAUAAAUAUUACAUUUUAAAAUAUUAUGAGGCUAAAUUUAUACACGUUCAAUAACCCGCUUCAUAUAUAUUUAACACAAUUUAUAUCAUACAUUGUACACCCAUUUAUCAUAAAUUACACUAUUUUGUAUCUCUAAAUAAUAUUACGUAUUGAUAUUAUAAAAUAUAUAUGGAAAAGAGAACAAAGAAGAUUUCUUAUGGUUUGAAAAUAUUAUGAAUUCUGCUGUUGAACAGUAUGGAAACAAGGUCUCUGUUGUUAAAGGUGAAGAAGCAACAGGGAACAAUAUUGAAGGAAGAAAUUUCACAUGUUUAGUUGCUGAAUUUGCCGCUGUAUUCUAUCGGUAGUAAAAAAAUUAGAGUUUUUAUUUUUCUCUAUUAAUGUUAAGUCAAUUUUCUAUAACAAAUUCGGUUGAGUUUAAUUGUGUUACAAUAUAAAUUGAAUGAUAAUAGAAUUUUCAACGAAUAUUUCAAUAUUUCUAUCUCGAUUGUUGAAGUGCCAUUUAUUUGUUAUGCGAUCGAUUUUAAAAUUUAUAAAAAUUAUUUGUUACUAAAUUGCAUCAUAUGCUAAAAUCACCUGAAACCUAAUUCCAUAACUAACCCUUUAUUUUUAGUUCUCAAGAAAUCUUGUAAGAACAAAAUUCUUUUAUAACAAAACUUUUACAACACAUUAAUUUGUAACUCAUUCCUGUGCGAGAAUCACUCUCAAAUUCCUUCAAUUGCUGUUGAACAAUCAUCUGCUUAUCAAAAUUCAAGCAUAAUCUUUUCUUUUUUUUAAUUUCUUCAUCAUUCUUUUGAAAAAAAAAAAUCAGGAUAUGCUGUUAAAAUUUUGAAAUAAAUUAUCUCAAAAUAAUUACUAACCAGAAAAAACAAAGGGGUUUAACUAGGUUAUGCAUACCUUUGAAAAUUAUAUGUUGAUCGAUAAGAAUGAUGAUCACGAUUGAGGAGUUUAAUUAAAAUAUAUAAGAUUUUAAAAUUAAUCAGGGUUAAAUUGUGAAUUUUAGAAAGAGAGGUUUUGUGAGAAUGCUGAAAGGGUGUUAAUAGUUCCACUCUUUUUAAAAGCAACCAUAGUCAUCAUUUUUCCCGAUUUCUUCUUCCCAUCUCCAUCUUAUUUAGAAAUUUCCCAGAGCCUUUGUUUCCCACCUUUCAUUGUUCUUCUUUCUAAUUUAAUACUAUAGGAUUACAAAAAUAAUUACUCACAUUUUAUCAAACACCUCCAUUCUACCAAGGCCUUGUUUUAGUAGUAGGCUUUUAUUAUCUCAAUAAAAUUGAAAAAACAAAUCUCAAUAAUAUUGGAAAAAAAAAACCUACCCAUAUUUGUAACUUUAAUUUAUUAUUCUCCAUAGACCUACUUUUUAGCUUUGAAUUUUGUUGGAGCCAUAUAUAAACAGAAUAUGUUGAAUCAGCACCAAAAAAAAAAAAAAAAAACUAAUUAUAUAAUUUCUGUUCCCAAGGACAUGACUGAUUGAUUUUCAAGAAGUUUUGUUUGGCUGGCUACUUAGGUUUAAAUCUUGGUGGAGAUUAGGGGUUAAGAAAUAAAUUUGGACUUUGCACACCCCUUUAACUUUUAAAAAGAAAUGAAAAAAACUAAUUAAUUAAUCUUUAUUUUAUUUAUUAAAUAUCAUAAUCCUAUGCGUAUUUUAUUUGUUAUCUUUCUAUUUAAAAGACAGGAGGGCAGAUAAAACUGAAAUAAAUUUUUAGCCCUAUCUCCAUCUUUCAAGUUCCAUAGUUAGGUGACCAGGUAAAGAAAAUUAAUUGAAAGCUACUCCAUCAAAUUAAAAAAUUUUAUUUAUUUAAUUUGUGGAGAUGUAGAAAAUCAAACCCCAUGCCUUUUCGCGUGGAAAAGUGUCAACCUGGUCUAGCUAUGUUGCAAAAGUGAACAUAUUUUAAUACAUGACUAUCAUCCUUUAUCCUAAAUACUACUAUAACUAAUAACAUACAAUUGAAAUAAUUAAUGUUAACACUUGGCUAUAAAUAAAGGUUUUGUGCUUGAAUCUUCACGCAUGACCUUCAUUCCUUUAUUUACUUUGCUAACACAGAUUUUGAGGCAUUAAAACUAAAUAAUAAUUGACUUUGUGGGCCGAGGAUGCCAGCAACAAGGAGACCACAAUUAUCACUUGUUAAGUUACUCUAAUUGCCGUUGUCUUAUAUUCAUAGAAUAUUAGUAAUAAGAUUAUUGUAGAAUUUUUUUAUAUUAAAAUUAAGUCAAUUUGUUAUAACAAAUUUAGUUGAGUUUAAUCGUGUUACCACAUAAAUUGAAUAAUAAUAAAAUUCUCGACAAAUAUUUCAAUAUUUUUAUCCCAAGCGUUGGAGUGGCAUUUAUUUGUUAUACGAUCAAUUUUAGAAUUUAUAAAAUUAUUCGUUACUGAAUUGCACCAUAUGCUGCAUGACCUGAAACUUAAUAAACGGAACGUAGCGUUGGCACCGUUACUCAACAUACUGUUACGACUUUGUGACAUUAGAAUUAAAAUCUUUUGCACAUUUAAUUUGUUUACUUCCAAAUUAAUAUUUAACAAAAUAUUUUUUCACAUUAUCAAUGGACAAAACUCCAACGAAAAUAACUACACAAGAAAAAUGUAUGCUAGUAUUGUGUGCCAUAUCAUCUGUAAUUUUGUCAGGAUCGAUCAUUCUAAUUUUUAAGCAGAACUUUUUAUCAAUGGACAAACACCUCACACAGCUUGUCAGAGGCAUUAUUAUGAUGGAAAACUGUAAUGGUAUAUCUUGAAUUAUUGGUAGAAUAGUUCUUUGGAGCAAUAAAAACAGAUAAGACAGAUGAGAAAAUUGUCAAUACCCCACCGCAAAAGCAAAAGAAAAAAAGGAAAGGAGACAAAAGAGGAAGAAGAAAAAGAAAAAAGAACGAAGAAAAAAAUGGUGCCGCGCGGUAUAGGCAAGAAGAAAAAAUAAUAAUAAAAUAAUAAAAUAAUAGUGCACAACAGUCAUUUGAUUGCUAUAAAUAAAGGGGCAUUUCCCUCAUUUUAUUCAUCGAAUUCUUCAGUUCCUAAGCGAUUUAAGAGUCUAGUGAUUUGAGAGUUUGGGUAUAGUAUAGUUUUGAGUAGUGAGUUAAAAUAUUACAAUACUUAUAACUUAUUUUUACUAAUAAAAUAUUUUUCUUCUAUCUUCACCCGUGGACGUAGGGUCAAAGCCGAAUCACAUAAUUUUUAGUAUCCCUAUGUGAUUAUGUAUCUCAUUAUUUUUCAAUUUUACUUUAGUUACGUGUCUGCUACAUCCUUCAAUUUACUAACAAAAAUGGCCAAAAUUAUAUAAGUGACCCAAAUUUUUUUGCUAUUUCCAAGAAAUCUCCAAUCUGAAUGGGCCAGACCAGAGGGAGGCAAGUUAGAAAUACGUUUCCUUCAUAGACAAUAACAGCGAUGAGUCGAUGACAUCGAGCCACGUCGGUAUCAAUAUUGAAUUAAAGGUGCAAUUAUUCAGCCAAUGAGCCUUACACAUCAAGAUAAAAGUCAAGAAAAUGAAUAUUUAUCCUAAUUAAAACACUUUCUGGCUGCAUUUAGUUGUUUCCAUUUGAAGUUAAAAGCAACGUUUCUUUCGUUUUGUGGGCAACUCGACUCAGUUAGCUGGCUUCUAGUGCUAGUAAGUGAAAAUAGAAGGCUAAUGAUUUAUUUGUUAUCUUUUGAUAAAAUUAUUAAAGAUAUAAUAGAUUUUUCAUGAUACAAAUAAAAAAUCACAUCAACAUAGCUUCCAAAGUACAACAGCUAAUGUUUACCAAACACUUUGUUGUAGCUUUUAAGCUACAGCUGCCCAACUUUAAUUUCAAAUGCACCCUUAAUAGGUUGAUUGAAUUUGUGGGAUAUAGAUUCCACAUAUCGUAUGACCUAGUAACUAUACAAGUGGUUCGUGAUCAAGACACAACAUUUGCUUCCGGCCCGGUGACCCAGCAAUCGCUGCAUUGGUCGCCACCUAUGGUGCCAACGAUAUUGCAUGGUCCAAUUGUGGCCUUGAAUGGAAAAAGUUGAGCAAAUUAUUUGUGGACACGAUGAUAAGUAACGCAAGCCUUGAUGCUAGUUAUGGUCCAAGAAAACAAGAGAUAUGCAUAACAACAAAAAGGAAAAAAAAAAAAAAAAAAAAAAAGGCAUUUGCAAGCCCAUUGAUAUUGGUGAAUUGUCGAUUUCAACUUUGGCAUGUGUAAUCCAGAGCCUGCGCGCUGUGGUGUGGCGCUGGCACGCUUGCAUUGACGAGGGGACAAGUCUUGGGGCUGAGCUAACAUUUAAGCUCGCAGAACUCAUGGUGCUAAUGGGAACACCAAAUAUUUUUUGACAUAUUUUGGUGCUUUCAUGGUUUAAUUCAAGGUAUAGAAAGGAGUGUUGAGAAUGUCAAAUAAAACGGUAUUGAAUGGAAGUUGUUAAAGACACGAUCCGCACCGAACGACAACAGCACGGUUGCUAAAAAUCCUUCCGUAAUAGGCAUAUCUAAUUUUUGAAAAAGUGUAACCUCUACAUUUAUAAAUAUACUCAAUGUAUAAUGUUUUACUUAAGAAAUGAAAAACUUGUUUGUUCAAGGAGAAUAAAGAAAAAUUUUCUAUGAUUUUUCUAUGGUUUGAACAAAGAAGGUUUUAACGAGUAUUAUAGACCUCGAUUGAAUGUUCGAAUGUAUAAUAAAAGAGAAACUGUCACAUAAAUGACAAAGAUACUUGAAAAAAAAAAAAAAGGGCAGCAAUAGAGAAUUAGAUCCGACUGUACAAAUAACUAGUUAAUUCAUCGAUACAUCAUUUUCUUGCUAGAAAAUGACAAUUAUGACAGCAAGCCACGAUAGUGUCAAUAUUGAAAUUGAUUUGCAAUUAUUCAGCCUAUGAGCCUUACACGUCAAGAUAAAAGUCAAGAAAAUGAAAGUUAAUAUCAAUUAAAACACUUCCAUUUCUAUGUGAAGUUAAAAAACAACGUUUCUUUUGUUUUGUGGGGGAUUCAACUGAGCACGCGCCACUAGCUAGCUGGCUUCUAGUUCUAGCAUAUGAAAACAGAAUUCUAAAGAUUUCACUUUCACCUUUUUUCUUUUUUUGGGGUUUUGAAUCAAAGUCAAGGUCGCACUGAAUAAUAUGUAAAAUUUGAAAAAGAAGAAUUAAUAGAGAACAAAGUUUUGUUUUAAAUUCACAUGGUGUGCAUACAAUUCAACAAACACUUCCUAUAAUAAAUCUGGAGUUGUAUCCCACGUUGAACAAUAAAGGAAAGUCACCUAAAUAUACAUGUAGGAUAAGUUACUUUAUUUAGUAAGUUUGUAUUUUCUUCUUUCUUCUAGUUUACAUAUAAAUUUGAUUAGAUAACUUAACACAUAUUUUAAUACUUGAUCAGAAGCCCGACGUACAGGUGGAUCUAGAAACUUGAUUUCUAAGAGUAAUACUAUAAUAAAAAAAUAAUGAUUCAUAGAACCAAUAUCAAAAUUUGUUUACAAGAUUGCCCCCACUCAAAGGUAAUUUUCAUAGAAAUUAAUAGGAAAUUUAAUUGUUAGUGGGGUCAAAUUGCCCCCACACUCUGAAUGUAGAUCCACGCCCGACCCUGAGUCAAGUAUAUUUUGCCACAUAUACUCUGAAUGUCGGCAGGAAAAAUCUUCCACUUUAGUUAAAAAUUUUCACUUAAAAAAUAUUUAUGUUAAUAAAGUUCGUAAAGGAAAUGAGUUUAAUUAAUGAAUAUUAUAGGAGAAAUUAAAGGAAAUGAGUUUAAUUAAAGAAUAUUAUAGGAGAAAUUCUAUUGUUCGGCUUUUAAUAAAUUAAUUAAUAGGUUUAAAAGAUUAAUAUACAUCAAAAUAUUAUUAGUUGGUGGGGGUUCCACAUCGGACUAAUACGUGUCACCUUACUUGUGAGAUUAAGACAAUCGACUUAGACUAUUUAAAUAUGUUUGAAGCUUAGAUGGCACCGCUUCAAUUUGCAUUACUGAAUGUCAUUCUUUAUCCUAAUUACUACCGUAAUUGAUAACAUGCAAUUGAAGUAACUAAUAUUAGCACUUGGCUAUAAAUGAACUAAAGGCCGUGCAAUUGAAUCUUUACUUGAUCACUUCACUCCUUUAUUUUGCUAACACAGAUUUUGAGAUAUUAAAACGAAAUAAUAAUUGAAUCUGGCUUUGUGGGUCGAUGAUGCUAGCAAAAACGAGACCACAAUUAUCACUUGUUUAUUUGCUGUAUUUGACGUUGUUUCAUAUUGGUAGUAAUAGGGUCAGUUUUUAAUCUUUUUAUAUUAAAGUUAAGUCAAUUUGUUAUCAAAAAAAAAAAUUGGUUGAGUUUAAUUAUAUUGCUAUGUACAUUAAAUAAUUAUAAUAUUCUUGAGGGAAAAAGACACCUAGAACCUCAAGGUUUGGGGAAAUGGUCACAAAGACUCCUAAGUUUUAAAAAAGGAACACUAAGAUCUUUUUUUACCCAUAAUACCCUUUGACUAGAGUAAUUAAAAAAUUGACUUUAAAGGUUUUUAAAUAAUUCUAAUUUAAUAUAAAUCAUAUAAUCUAUCUAGUAAACUAAUAAUAUUAAAUUAUUUUUUAUAUUUAAAAUAAUGUUAAAUUUUAAAUUAUUAUAUUUAUAAAAUUAUAAAGAUUUUAAAUAAAUAUUUGGAUUGAAUAUAUUUUACAAUUAAAAGUCUUCCUAUUAAUAAUAUUAAAAUUUAAUUUUACAAAAUAUAUAUUCAAAAUAUUUUUAAUUUUAAUUUAUUUAUUUUAAUAUUAUGUUUCUACCUAUUAUUAAAAAUUACUUUAAUAUAAUAAAAUAGGUCUAAUAGAUUGAAAAAUAUGAAAAUAUUUUUAAAAUUUUAAAUUAUUUUGAAAUGUAUAUAUUAUUACAUUUAUUUCAAUGUCAUAUUUUCAUUUAUUAUAAAAUUUUGGGGUUAUUUUUUUGGGAAUUUAUAGAGUCAAAGAGCAUUAUAAUUUAAUCCAUGCACAAUAUCUAUAAUUAUAUCGGUUGUCGGCUGAUUUCGUGGAGGGGGCGGCAGUUCAAAAUUUUUACGUGCAUGUUGGAUGGACGUCUCUAUUAAAGGAGAGCCACCACUUGCAUGGUAAUUUUUUUAAAUAAAUAUAUACAUUUCAAAACAUUAUUUUCUUGUUGUAUAGUUAACAUGUCACCUUAGAUGUAUUUUAGAGCUUCUCCUAUUAAAGAUAAUCUCAUGCAGUGUUACAGAGUAUGGUAAUAUGGUAUAGAUGAGAGCAUCUGAUUAAAUGAAGCAGCUGGUAAUGCUUACGUGUGUGAGUUAGUUAUCCAGCUCAGCAGCAAAGCAAACGAAAUGAAUUGCAUGCAUAUUAGAUCCAACAAACUGGUAAACUCUAGAUUCUUCUUUCAUUUAGUAUAAAUACCAAGUUGUUAUCAUUUGCUAAAUAUAUAAUAAGAUGAUCAUUUUCAGAUCUUUCCUUUAUAAUUUUCUAUAACUUUCUCGUUAGUUUCUCUUGAACCAAACACUUUGUACGAACUCUUUCGUGCAGUGAUACUUCUCGUGAUCUAAUCAUUAGUAGAAUCUAUAAUUUCGCUACUGUAAUAAAAUCUGUCACUACCCUAUAUGAAUGUAGAUAUUUGACGCGAUUUGUAAUUGCUUCCGACAGGAAAACAGCAAUAGUUUUAUUGAAAUUUGUGGUAUAGAUUCCACGAAUCUUAUGACAGAAUACUGACCACUCCAACCCUAUCCGCAUUUACACGAUUAAUACACAAGCUUAGAUGUGACAAUGCAUUUGUCACUCAUUCAAAUUCAUCCUGAAACACUAUACACUAAAUAAUCGAAUAUGGCUUCGUGGGUCGAUGAUGCUAGCAGCAACGAGACUGCAAUUAUCACUUGUUUUGUUGCUGUACUUGUCGUGGUCUAUUUCGCAUGGAAUGUAAACAAAUCAAGUAAAGCAAAUGCUAAAUUGCCACCAGGACCUCGGGGCUUGCCAGUAGUCCGAUACCUCCCAUUUCUUGGAACUACUGACUUACACAAGACAUUCACGGAGUUAUCUGGAGUUUAUGGUCCGAUCUUCAAGAUUUGGCUUGGGAAUAAAUUGUGUGUAGUGGUGACCUCGCCUACCCUAGUUAAACAAGUGGUCCGUGAUCAAGAUAUAACAUUCUCAAACCGCGACCCACCGAUCGCUGGAACUGUGACCACCUACGGUGGCAAUGAUAUUGCACUUUCCAAUUACGGUCCCGAAUGGAAAAAGUUGCGAAAAUUAUUUGUGAGCAAGAUGAUGAGUAAUGAGACCCUUGAUGCUUGUUAUGCUCUAAGAAAACAAGAGGUUAAAAAUACUAUCAGGGAUUUGUAUAACAACAAUAAGGAUAAUAUUGGCAAUGGCAAUGGCAAGCCCAUUGACGUUGGUGAAUUGUCGAUUUCAACUUUGGUACGUGUUAUGCAGAACAUGCUGUGGGGUCAAGCAUUGGAAACAAGAGAGAAAGAGAUUACUAAUCUCGGGGCUAAUCUUGCAGAACUCAUGGUGCUACUGGGAACACCAAAUAUUUCGGAUAUUUUUCCAGUGCUUUCAUGGCUUGACAUGCAAGGUAUAGAGAGAAGAGCUAAGAAGAUUUCUCUAUGGUUUGAAAAUAUUAUCAAUUCUGGUGUUGAACAGUAUAGAAACAAGUUCUCUGUUGUUAAAGGUGAAGAAGCUGCAGCACGAAAAAAUAUUGAACGAUCAAGAAAUAAGGACUUCUUGCAGUUGCUGUUGGAGCUUCAGGAAAAUGAAGAUAGUGCUUCAUCUAUUAGCAUGAACCAACUAAAGGCCGUGCUCGUGGUAUGUUAAGCAACUAGACACAAAAAGUUGUAAAAGCACAGCGAUAUAUUUGCGCGAGGCCCCGAGUGAUGUUUUGCCUCGAGAACUCUCAAUUUUAUCUUACGGUAAAAAAUGUUUUUCAACUUUUUUUUUUAAUUAGAAUUUUAUUGCAAUUUAUUUAACAGGACAUAAUUGUGGCCGGAACCGACACCACAACUACGAUGGUGGAAUGGACAAUGGCAGAGUUGAUGCAACAUCCACAAGUAAUGAAGAAAGUUCAAGAAGAAUUCGCUCAAGCUGUGGGCAUGGACAGUUGUGUUGAAGAAUAUCACUUGCCUAAAUUAAAGUAUUUAGAUGCUGUGGUGAAAGAAACAUUUCGUUUGCAUCCUGCGUUGCCCUUAUUGGUACCUCGCACGGCAAGCAAGAAUAGCAACAUUGGUGGCUAUACCAUUCCCAACGACACUAAUCUUAUGUUGAAUGUUUGGGCUAUCCACAGGGACCCUCAACUUUGGGAUAAUCCCUUAGAAUUUCGACCUGAGAGGUUCUUGAAUGAUGGUAUCAUAAGCAAUUUCAAUUACUCGGGUAACAAUUUUCAGUACUUGCCAUUUGGUUCUGGUAGAAGGAUGUGCGCUGGGAUUGCUCUAGCUGAGAGGAUGUUGAUGCUUGUUCUGGCUUCGUUGUUGCACUUGUUUGAGUGGAAAUUGCCCUCGGGCACAAAGCUAGACUUAUCUGAAAAGUAUGGGAUUGUCAUGCGGAAAAAAGAGCCUCUAAUUGCUAUUCCAACACCAAGGCUACCAAAUUCAGAUCUCUACCAGUAAGAUCAAAAUGGUUUUGAUAAUAUUAUUUCCCAUUGUAUUGGAUUUGAAGUUCAAUCAUAAUAAAAUAUUUUAAUAAAAUGUCCUCGGUUGCUAAUUUUUCAAUAGUAUAAUCUGCACCUGUCUUUUAUAGCAAUUUGGUCUAAUUUAUUUUUGAAUUAAAAUCCAUAAAUAUUUAUAUUUUUUUAAUUAUAUUAGGAAUUAUGUGGGGUGUAUGGUCUGAUCUUCGAGCUAUGCCUUGAAAACAAAUUAUGCAUAGUCGUGCACACGCUUUCCCUAAUUAAGUUUGUGGUUCGUGCUCAAGGCACAGCAUUCACCCCCCGCGACCCAACAAUCGCUACAUUGUUCCCCACCUAAAGUGCCAACAUAUUGCAUAAGUAACGCAAAAUAUGGUCCCCAAUGGAAAACGUUGCGCAAAUUAUUUCUGGGCAAGAUGAUAAGUAACGCAAGCCUUGAUGCUUGUUAUGGUCUAAGAAAACAAGAGGUUAAAAAUACUAUCAGAGACAUAUAUAAAACAACAACAGAAAAAAUUGGCAUUAUCAUCGAUAAUGGUGAGUUGUGGAUUUCAACUUUGGUAUGUUUAAUUCAGAACCCGCAGUGGGGUGGCGCUAGCACGCCUGCGUUAGGAGACGAGGGGACCAAUCUUGGGGCCGAGCUAAAAUAUAGGCUUGUAGAGCUCAUGCUGCUAAUGGUAAUGGGAACACCUACUAUUUCGGAUACUUUUCCGAUGCUGGUUUAAUUCAUGGUUUAGAAAGGAGAACAAAGAAGAUUUUUCGAUGCUUUGAAAAUAUUAUAAUUUUUAUAAAAUCUCUUAUUGAUAACUAAACAACUAAAAUUUCUGUAAAGUUUUUGUGGACUUUUGAUCUCCUAUGGUGCCAAUAUUUUCGACUAAUUUUUUCCUUCAAUUAAUGAUGUUGGUUGAGAAAGACUAUUUUUCUUGCAAUAAUAUAGUAUUCGUGGUCCUAUUAGGGUUCCGAAUGGAGAAAGUUGCACUAAGUUUUUUGAGUACCAAAUGAUGAGUAAUGUACGUAAGCCUUGAUGGUAGUUAUGGUCUAAGAAAACAAGAGGUUAAAAAUACUAUCUGGGAUUUGUACAACAAUAACAAAAUUGGCAAGCCCAUUGACAUUGGUGAAUUGUCAGUUUCAACCUUGGUAAGUGUUUUCAGAACAUGCUGUGGGGUGAAGCGCUUGGAAUAAGAAAGAAACGGAUGACGAAUAUUGGGGCUGAGCUUAGAUUUAAACUUGCAGAACUCAUGGUGCUGUCAGGAACACCGAAUAUUUCGGAUAUCUUUCCAGUGCUUUCAUGGUUUGAUAUACAAGGUUUUGAGAGAAUAGCAAAGAAGAUUUCUCUAUGGUUUUAAAAUAUUAUCAAUUCUACUGUUGAACGCUAUAGAAACAAGGUCUCAGUUGUUAAAAGUGAAGAAGAAGACGCAGCAGCAGCAGCAGCAGGGAACAACAUUGAAGGAAGGAAUAAGGACCUGGUGCAGUUACUCUUGGAGCUUCAAGGUAAAGAAGAAAAUGCUUCAUCAAUUAACAUGACGCAAUUUAAGAGCUUGCUCGUGGUAUGUUUGCGCAACUAGCCACAGACAGUUACAGAAACUGAGUUUGGCAGAUUACGACCGUUUCUGGUGAUUAUAUAACUAUUUGUGGCUGUUUUUUGUUUUUUUUUUCUUUUAAUUGGAAUUUUAUUGUAAAUUUCUUAACAGGAUAUAAUUUAGGGUGGAACCAACACCACAACUAUAAUGGUGGAAUGGACAAUGGCAUAAUUGAUACAGCAUCCACAAGUAAUGGAGAAUGUAAAGGUAGAACUAAGUCGGGCCGUGGCCAUUGACAGCCAUGUUGAAGAAUUUCACCUACCUAAGUUAAAAUAUUUAGAUGUUGUGGUGAAAGAAACAUUCCGCACGAUAAUAUAAUAUAUGAAUCAUAUAUCCUCUAUUGGUUUUUUGCUCCUUUUUUUUUCAAUAGCUUAAUCUAUCAUUAAAAUCUUCUGAAAUUCUAAAUUAAUAUACAUUCAACCUAGAGUUCAACCCAAAGUUUUAUUGAGCAUUAAAAAAAAAAAUUCUACGACUAAAAAUUUUACAGAGUAUAAAUUAAAAAUUAUGCGCCUACUAACAGACAAAAAACAAUUGAUACACAUUCACCAAUCAAAGGCAAACAAGAGAUUAUUAACAAUAACUUAAUAAUAAAAUUAUAAGGAAUCAAAUAGAAAUGGUACCUAGAAACACAUCACGCCAUUUAAUCAAUCACUUACCCAUAAAAUCCAAACUUAUAAACUAUUAAGGGGGGGAAAUGGAUACCUUUGGGUUUCAUUAAAUCAAAAUUACAACACCAUUAAAUACUCAAAAAUGAAAAAAAAAAAAUCAUACCCAAUAAAAGAGAAAAAAAUAACCCACAAAAAAAAUCAUCAAGAAAAUAAAUUUGAGACUAAGAGAAGAUAUUAAUUAACGCCUGGGUUGCAUUGGAACCACGGCUUUGGCUUCCAUUUUUCAAUUCUUGGUCACAAGUGAUUUCUUGUUUGUUUGCAAUGAUGACGGUUGAUUAAUGAAGCUCUAUUAACAAUGAAUGAAUCAAAAAACUUGAGCCUUGAAAAGACUAACGGUCAUAUUUUUCAACUCCGAAUUAGUGGCGUUUGAUGAGUCCUUGCCAAAACAAUCACUCGGCAGAUAACGAUCAUUUUUCAACCAGCAAAACUCAUUCAUUGUUUUUCACCUUAGUGAAGAUUUAAAAAUUGUUUCAAAAUAGGAUUCUUAAAAAAAUAAUAAUAAAAUGAUAUUUAACUUAAUUCUAACUUAGGAAAACAAAAUAUCUACACUCCCAAAGUUUGGAGAAAUGGUCAUUAAUAUCCCCAACUUUCCAAAAAGAGACACCAAGAACCCUUUUAACCAUAAUACUAUUUACUUCUAUUAUCCCAAAAAACAAUUGACUCUAAUAUUUUAUAAUAAAUAAAAAUAUAACAUUAAAAUAAAUGUAAUAGUAUAUACAUUUUAAAAUAGUUUCAAUAUUUAAAAAGCAUUUUAAUAUUUUUAAAUUCUAUUUUAUAUAUAUUGAUUAUUUUAAAGUAAAUUUUAUAAUAAAUAGAAUCAUAAUAUUAAAAUAAAUGCAUUAAAAUUUAAAUUAUUUUGAAUAUUAUGUAAAAUAAUAAUUUUAACAUUAUUAGUAUAUGAGAAUUUUUUUAAUUGUAGAAUGCAUUUAAUGCAAAUAUUUAUUUAAAAUCUCUACAAUAAAUAAAAAUAUACUAUUAAAACAAAACUCUACAAUACAUACAUACAUACAUAUACAUUGGCCUGGUAUUUUUAUUUUUCAUUUUUAAACUUAUUAAAUCCUCUAACUAUCAUUUGAUUUUUUUUUUUUUUCAAUGAUCAAGAGGUCAUUGCCGGAUAAAUGAUUAAAAUCAACUAGUUCUACAAGAAUAUCUCUUUUUAAAGGAAGAUGAUUCUCUCUCUCGAAAUUUUUUUAUCUCGUGCUACAAACUAAAAACUUAUGCCACUUCAUUAACCACAAAGAUCUUUGAGGAAAUGAUGCUUCCCUCCCCCCCCCCCCCCCCCCCCCUCCCACAAAAAAAAAAAAGAGUCCUUCCAUAUUGUGUGAAGGCUAAUAUAUCGAUGAAUCUAGAUUUCUUUAAAUUUUUUGUUUUACUCAAUUCGAGAUAAUAAUUCAAUCCAUGCAAAUAUCUAUCAUUGUAUGAGCUGACCAGUUAAUAGGUUGAUUGAAUAUAUGUGGUAAAGAUUCCACGUAUCUCAUGACAGAAUGCUGACCACUGGAACCCUAUCUACUUUUACGCGAUUAAUUCACGAGCUUAGGCACAACAAUUGCAAUACAAAUUAUCCCCUCAUCGUAUAUUUCGUUAAAAUUCAUUCUGAAGCAGUAAAACUAAACAAUCGAAUAUGGCUUUGCGGGUCGAUGAUGCCAGCAGCAAUGAGAGUGCAAUUAUCACUUGUUUAGUUUCUGUGCUUGCCGUGGCUUAUUUCGCAUGGAAUGUGAAAAAAUCAAGGAAAGCAAAUGCUAAACUGCCACCAGGAACUCGCGGCUUGCCUGUAGUCGGAUACCUCCCAUUUCUCGGGACUACUGACUUGCACAAGAAAUUCACGGAAUUUAUUUUACUAUUAUAUUUAUAUUCAAAAUAAUUUUAAUUAGCUUUUAAAAUGAAUGAUUUUAGGAAAUUAUAAAUAAAGGUAACUAAGAAUUCUCUUAAUGCAAUAUAUUAUUAAUUAGUUUAAAAAUACAAAUUUAUUAAUUAGAGAAAUUAUUAGUGAAUUUAAAUUAAUGAUCUUAAUGAUUUGUUUGUACGAUUGCCCCCAAUCAAAGGUAAUUUUCCUAAAAAUUAUUAGGAAAUUAGAGAAAUUUAAUUUUUUUUAGUGGGUUCAAUUGCCCACACACCCCGACUGAAGCAUUUUUUACAAUAUGUACUCCGUUUGUCGGCAGGAAAAUAAAGGUCUUGACACAUGAUCACUUCAUUCCUUUAUUUACUUUGCGAACGCAGAUUUUGAGGUAUUAAAACAAAUAAUAAUUGAAUAUGACUUUGUGGGUCGACGACGCCAGCAACGAGGAGACCGCCAAUUAUCACAUUUUAAGUUUGCUGUAAUUGCCAUUGUUUUAUAUUAGUAGAAUAUUAGUGAUAAGAUAAUUGUAGAGUUUUCAUUUUUUUAAUAUUAAAAUCAAGUCAAUUUAUUAUAAUAAAUUUAGUUGAAUUUAAUCGUAUUACCACAUAAAUUGAAUAAUAAUAGAAUUCUCCACAAAUAUUUCAAUAUUUUAAUCUCAAGCAUUGGAGUGGCAUUUAUUUGUUAUGCGGUCGAUUUUAGAAUUUUUAAAAUUAUUCGUUACUGAAUUGCACCAUAUGCUGCAUCACCUGGAACUUACUAAACGGAACGUAGCGUUGGCACCGUUACCAACAUUCACUGUUACGACUUUGUGACAUUAGAAUUAAAAUCUUUUCCACAUCUAAUUUGUUUACUUCCAAAUUAAUAUUUAACAAAAUAUUUUUUCACAUUAUCAAUGGACAAAACUCCAACGAAAAUAACUAUACAAGAAAAAUGUAUGCUAGAAUUGUAUGCCAUAUCAUCUGUAAUUUUGUCAGGAUCGAUCAUUCUAAUUUUGAAGCAGAACUUUUUAUCAAUGGACAAACACCUCACACAGCUUGUCAGAGGCAUUAUUAUGAUGUAAGAUUGUAAUGGUAUAUCUUGAAUUAUUGGUAGAAUAGUGAAUAACUAUUUGGAGCAAUAAAAACAAAUAAGACAGAUGAGAAAAUGGCUAAAAUUAUAUAAGUGACCCAAAUUGUUUUGCUAUUUCCAAGAAAUCCCCAAUCUGAAUGGACCAGCCAGAGGGAGGCAAGUUAGAAAUAUGUUUCCUUCAUAGACAAUAACAACGAUGAGUCGAUGACAUCAAGCCACGUCGGUAUCAAUAUUGAAAUAAAGGUGCAAUUAUUCAGCCAAUGAGCCUUACACAUCGAGAUAAAAGUCAAGAAAAUGAAAAUUUAUCCCAAUUAAAACACUUUCUGGCUGCAUUUAGCUGUUUCCAUUUGAAGUUAAAAACAACGUUUCUUUCGUUUUGUGGGCGACUCGACUGAGCUAGCUGGCUUCUAGUGCUGGUAAGUGAAAAUAGAAGGCUAAUGAUUUCACUUUCACAUUUUUCUUUUCCUUUUUUGGGAAUCAAAGUCAAGGUCAAGAAGAAUAAAUGGAGAAUUCGGAAAAAUGGGUGCAUAAUGUGAUCCAUUCAUGAAGAAGAGUACGUGAGCGUCGGGCAACAGUAUUUUUACCUAUUAAGCUCCAGUUUAAUUUUGUUGUAGGAAAACAAAAUUUUGUUUUCAAUUCACAUCGUGUGCAUCCAAUUCAACAAACACUUUGUAAUAAUUAAUGUUGAGUUGUAUCCUACGUUAAGGAGAGUUACUUAAAUUUAUAAAUAGGAUAAAUUACUCUAUUUAAUAAGUUAAUGUUUUCUUCUUUCUUCUAGAUUACAUAUAAAUUUAGUCAGAUAACCUAACACAUAUUUUAAUACUCGAUCAGAAGCCCUAAGCAGUGGUGGAUCCAAUAAAUUGAUUUAUAUGGUGUAAUAAUGUAAUAAAAAAAUGGUGAUUCAUAAAAUUGACCCAAUAUCAAAAUUUGUUUGCAAGAUUACUCCCCACUCAAAGGUAAUUUUCCUAAAAAUUAAUAGGAAAUUUAAUUGUCAUUGGGAUCAAAUUGCCCCCACACUCUUGAAUGUAGAUCCUCCCCUGGCCUUGAGUCAAGUAUUUUUUCCAAUAUAUACUCCGAAUGUCGGCAGGAACAACCUUCCACUUUAAUUUAAAAUUUUUACUUGAAAAAUUAAUUAAUGUUAAUAAAGUUCGUAAGAGAAAUGAGUUUAAUAAAAGAAAAUUAUAGGAGAAAUUCUAAUGUUUGUCUUUUAAUAAAUUAGUUUAUAAGUUUAAAAAGUUAACAUAUAUCAAAAUAUUAUUGAUUGGUGGUGGUUUCACGUCAGAUUAAGACGUGACACUUUACUUGUGAGACUGAGACAAUCAGCUUAGACUACUUCAAUAGGUUUGAAGCGUAGGCGGCACCCAUUCAAUUUGCACCAAUGUCUAUCAUUCUUUGUCCUAAUUACUACGAUAAUUAAUAACAUGCAAUUGAAAUUAUUAAUGUUAGUACUUGCCUAUAAAUAAAGGUAUUGUACUUGAAUCUUCAUAGAUGAUCACUUCAUUCCUUUAUUUACUUUGGUAACACAGAUUUUGAGAGACAUUAAAACUAAAGAAUAAUUGAAUAUGGCUUUGUGGGUUGAUGAUGCCAGCUCCAACGUGAGUGCAAUUAUCGCAUGUUUAAUUGCUCUAUUAGCCGUGGUCUAUUUCGUGUGGACAAGGAAAACAAAUGCUAAACUUCCACCAGGACCUCGCGGCUUGCCUGUAAUCGGAUACCUCCCUUUUCUCGGAACUACUGACUUGCACAAGACAUUCACGGAAUUAGCUGGUGUGUAUGGUCCAAUCUUCAAGCUCUGGCUUGGCAACAAAUUGUGUGUAGUGGUGAGCUCGCCUUCCCUAGUUAAACAAGUGGUUCGUGAUCAAGAUAUAACAUUCGCUAACCGCGACCCACCGAUCGCUGGACUCGUGGCCUCCUUUGGUGGCAAUGAUAUUUUAUUUUCCAAUUAUGGUCCUGAAUGGAGAAAGUUGCGCAAAUUAUUUGUGGGCAAGUUGAUGAGUAACGCAAGUCUUGACGCUUGUUAUGCUCUAAGAAAACAAGAGGUUAAAAAUAUAAUCAGGGAUUUGUAUAAUAACAACAAAACUGGCAAGCCCAUAGAUGUUGGUGAGUUGUCGAUCUCAACUUUUGUAUGUGUUAUACAGAACAUGCUAUGGGGUGAAGCUCUUGAAUUAAGAGAGAAAGGGAUCAGUAACCUUGGGGCUGAGCUAAAGUUUAAGCUAGCAGAACUCGUGGUGCUAAUGGGAACACCGAAUAUUUCGGAUAUCAUUCCGUGCUUUCAUGGCUUGAUAUACAAGGUAUAGAGAAGAGAACAAAGAAGAUUUCUCUAUGGUUUGCACAAGCACAGCUGUAUUAGUUAUGUGUUUUAACUUUAUUUUAAUUAGACUUUUAUUGUUAUCGUUUUAACAGGACAUAAUUUCUGGUGGAAACGACACAACAACUACAACGGUGGAAUGGACAAUGACAGAGUUGAUGCACAAUCCACGAGUAAUGAAGAAGGUUCAAGAGGAAUUAGCUCAAGUUGUGGCCAUGGACAGCUGUGUUGAAGAAUUUCACUUGCCCAAAUUAAAGUACUUAGAUGCUGUGGUGAAAGAAACAUUUCGGCUGCAUUCUGUGCCCUAUUUAGUACCACGUAGGGCAAGCCAAAGUAGCAGCAUUGGUGGCUAUACUGUUCCUAAAGAUACAACGAUUAUAUUGAAUGUUUGGGCAAUCCACAGAGAUCCUCAAAUUUGGGAUAACCCCUUAGAAUUUGGACCAGAGAAGUUUUUGAAUGAUGGUAUUGCGAGCAAAUUUGAUUACUCGGGUAACAAUUUUCAGUACUUGCCGUUUGGUUCUGGCAGAAGGAUGUGUGCAGGGAUUGCUCUGGCAGAGAGGAUGCUGAUGUUUGUUCUGGCUUCACUGCUGCACUCAUUUGAUUGGAAAUUACAGGCAGGCACAAAGCUAGACUUAUCUGAAAAGUUUGGGAUUUUGAUUAAGAAAAAGGAGCCUUAGGUUGCUAUUCCAACACCAAGACUACCCAAUUCAGAGCUCUACCAAUAAGACAAAUGGUUGUGAUGGUAUUGUAUCCCCACUGUAUUGGAAGAUUUGUAUGUUAUUUCAAGUUCAAUCAUAAUAAGCAUAUUAAUAAAUGUCUUCAGGUUGUUAUUUUUUCGCUGGCCCAAUCGAUCAUCAUACUCGUGUUUUCGAGCUAUUUAUUUAUUUUUGAAUUGCAAUCUGAAAUAUAUGUACUUUAAAUUUCUUACAAGAUUUUAAAUUUAUAUACAUCUACAACCCAAAAUCUCCCAAAAAAUCUAAAAUUCAAAAAUUUACAAAGCAUAGACCAAAAUUUUUAUACCAACUAAUUUUUUGAUCAAUUCUACACUUUCUAAAAGGAGAGACGUUUACUCCAAUAUUUGGACUACAAUUAUAUCUAAGCUUAGGUGCCAAAUAAUAAAUUUAUAAGUAAAUUGGAUUUUGAACAUGGAGAGAGUUCUAAAACAACUUGCUUAAAGCAAAUGAACUGUCCAAUUAAUUCAAUUUUUCAAAAACAAAUCUUUAAACAUUCAACGGACAUUUUCACAAGCUUCUGGAAGGCACAAUCUAAAACCCAACAAAGAAUUCAAAAAAUCUUUGAACUUCUCACAAGCUUCUUGGAGAGAUGCGACGGCGCUGCUUUGGUAACUCAGAAGGCUCAGAGAUCUUUGAGGAAAUCAUGGUUCGCUUUCUUUUUUAUCUUUCCUCCUAAUCCUUGCAAAUUGUGUGAAGGCCAAUAAAUCCAUGAAUCUAAAUCUCUGUAAAUUUCUUUUUUCCCAAAUUUAGAUAAUUAUUUACUCCAUGCACAAUAUAUAUCACUGUAUCAGCUGUUCUUUUUUUUUUUUUUUGGAUGGGGCGGCAGUUUAGAAGAGCUGGAGGGUGUUCUUGACAGAGCUCAAAUUUUUUGUGUGCUCGUUGGGUGGAUAUAUCAAUCAAAGAUAUCCCAUACAGUGACAUCUGUCGUGAUCAAAUUAUUAGUUGAUCAAUGAUUUCGACAUCUGUUUACUGUAAUAAAAUUUGUCACUAUACAUUGAUGAAAGUGUUUGAUGUGAUUUUCUAACUGCUACCGACGGGAAACAGUUAAUAGGUUGAUUGAAUUUGUGGGAUAUAGAUUCCACAUAUCGCAUGACAGGAUCCUGACCACUCGAAUCUUAUCUACAUUUACACGAUUAAUACACCAGCUUAGCUGUGACAGUGCCAUUACAAAUUAUCCUCUCAUCAUUUGUCUUGUUAAAAUUCAUUCUGAAACACUGAGACUAAAUAUACGAAAAUGGCUUUGUGGGUCGAUGAUGCGAGCCGGAAAGAGACUGUAAUUAUCACUUGUUUAGUUGCUGUACUCGCCGUGGUCUAUUUCGCAUGGAAUGUGAACAAAUCAAGUAAAGCAAAUGCUAAACUGCCGCCGGGACCUCGUGGUUUGCCUGUAGUCGGAUACCUCGCAUUUCUCGGAACUACUGACUUGCACAAGACAUUCACCGAUUUAUCUGGAGUCUAUGGUCCGAUCUUCAAGCUCUGCUUUGGAAACAAACUGUGUGUAGUGGUGAGCUCGCCUUCCCUAGUUAAACAAGUGGUCCAUGAUCAAGAUCUAACAUUCUCUAACCGCAGCCCAUCGAUCGCUGGACUUGUUACCACCUAUGGUGGCAAUGAUAUUGCACUUUCCAAUUAUGGUCCAGAAUGGAGAAAGUUGCG
rnacentral:lncRNA from 1 species